rnacentral:lncRNA from 1 species
GGCAUUUGAAAUCAAAAUAGAUAUUUUUUACACUAAAAAAUAUUCAACUACCAAAUUUUAUAUUAUUAUAUAAAUUAAUUCUUAAAAAAUUGUUUAGAAACUAAAGUAAAAAAUAUGCAAAGUUUAGGGAUUAUGGACCAAAAUAAAAAAGCAUGGAAAGAUUAGGGCCCAAUGUACAAUUAAUCCUUUUAAAAAUUGAUGUGGGCUUNUCAACUACCAAAUAUUAUAUUAUUAUAUAAAUUAAUCCUCAAAUAUUAUAUUAUUAUACUAAAAUGAAAAAUAUGCAAAGUUUAGGGAUUGGGGACCAAAAUAAAAAAGCGUGAAAAGAUUGAGGCCCAAUGUGCAAUUAAUCUUUUAAAAAAUUGAUGUGGGCCCCACAACCUCCGAAAUAAGAGGACUUUUUUUGUUCCAAAUUCGUAUAUUUAUAAAUUAUAAAUAAAUAAAUAAAUAUAAAUAAAGUGAAUAAAUAAAAUAUAUAUAUAUAUAUAUAAAAUGUGUGUGAGAGAGUGAGAGAGAGAAAACAAAAAAAAAAAAAGUGGGCCCCGCAGGCUCCCCCAAACCCGGGGAAGCCUGCUGAAAAGUAUGCAAAAUUUAGGGAUCAAGAUUGGCAUGCAAAAAAAAGAUAAAUAGACGAUGACAUUAUAAUUUCAUUAAUUCUAAAAUAUUUUUUAACGGUUACUAUUUUAUCGCGAUGAAAUUAAGAGAUUUGAAAAAAUUUAGGAACAAAAAAAAAAUAGUGGAAUGUUUGGAAAACAUUAUACAAUUAUUCCUAAAAAAAUUGUGGGCCACACAACCCUCUAAAAUAAAGAGAGAUCUUUUUUGAAUUCCCAAUUAAAUGAAAUUUUAAUUUUGUUAUCUUGACUAUUAAAAAAUAGAAUUUCUUUAUGUGAUAAAAUUUUAUACUUGAUGUAGAAAAUAUUGUAUUAAUUGUGCUGUAAGAAAAAAUUAAAAGAAAAGUUGUUGAGAAAAAAAAAAAAAAAAAGAAAAGAAAGUGAAGGAGAGACUGAGUGAGAGAGAGAGAGAGAAGGAGAGAGAGGAAAAAGAAAAAAGAAAAAAAAAAUGGGGCCCACCACCCACCCCUCCCGGUCCGCCCCUUCUCCAUACCCGCCACGUGGGCGAAAGUGAUGUGACCGUAUCCCCAAUUCAUAAGCUUAUAAAUGUAUAUGUAUAUAUACAUAUAUAUGUAUGUGUAUAUGUGUAUAAACAUAUAUAUAUGUAUGUUAUAUGCUGAUAUAGAACUAUAUAUGUAUGUGUAUAUUAUAUAUAUAUAUAAUAUAUAUAUAUAUAUAUAUAUAUAAUAAUAUAUAUGUAUAUAUACAUAUACAAUAUAUAUACUUACAUAACAAUCUAUAUAUAUUAUAUGUAUAUGUAUAUAUAUAUAUAUUACAUAUAUACUAAUAUGCAUAUAUGUGUAAUAUAUAUAACAUAUAUGUAUUGUAUAUAUAUAUAUACAUAUAUAUGUAUAUAUACAUAUACAUACAUACAUACAUACAUACAUACAUAUAUAUGUAUAUAUACAUAUACAUACAUACAUACAUACAUACAUAUAUAUAUAUAGAGUUGAGUAGGAAUGCUAUCGGUAGCAAACCGGCUCCGUUGCCACCCAUUUAUUUUCGAUAAUGGAGCCUUUAAAUUGACGAUGGGCACCAUUGAACAAGAUCUAUACCACUUGAAGUAUCUAGAAACCAAAUUUCGAAUCAUUUCGACAUCAUUGACCUAAUGAUCAAAGGGUUUCAAAAUUUAUAAUUUUAAUGGUAGAUAUUAGGCGUUUUUUCGUUUAACAGUGUAAAGCUAUUCAAAUCAAUUGAAUUUUGGUUAGAAAAUUCUUUAAACUAUUUAGAAUAAGAUCUAUACCCUCGAUCUUGAUUACAAAAUUUCUAUCAUCACUUUUUAGAGGAUAUUCAUUUUCAGCCGUUCAUUAUUAUGCUCACUUGAUGGACAAGAGAACAAUAUCGAAAAAGUAUGAAAUUUGAUUUCUAAAUACUUUAAGUGAUAUAGAUUAUAUUCAACGGUGCCGAUUAUCGAUUUGGAGGCUCCAUCAUCGAAAACAAAUGGGUGGCAACAGAGUCCGUUUGCUACUGAUAGUAUUAUAACUCAACUCUCUCUCUCUCUCUCUAUAUAUAUAUAUACUGUAUAUAAUAAACCUUUUAAGAAUAUCCAAGUGAUGCGAAAGUUUUAAUCAAGCAACACUAAUGAACCAAAUAUCCAUCUCUAAAACAAUUAAGUUAACCAAAGAUCCAUCUCUAAAUUUCUAACUUCGCAAUAGCAUCUACACUUGUCAAGUAAAACUUACAGCGGCCACAGGAAUCUCAUGAAUGUCAAACCAUGAGGGCAUGAUAGCACCAUCUGCAAAGAAAAAUGGCAUGGAACAACCGACCGUCAUGGGAAAUCAAAAAGAAGCAAAAAAAUAUAAAAUAUUUCCAUAUUUCAGAAUAUCAAAUCUACAUGAAGUUUGCUCGAGUAUUUUAGUGCAAGACGAUUUGUACAAAAGCAAAAAGCAAUAAAAAAUUACAAAUUGUAACUACAGUUUGAGCACAAAAUUCGCAUCCAAUUUACAUGAUAAAUUUCCAGAAUAAGUCACAAGUAGGGAAUCAUUAUCAAGAUAUCCCAUGCAUCUCUAGAAAUAUGCACAGAGAAAUCCACUCAUACACAUCAAGAAAUAUGUAGAAUGCAAGUAAUAAUAUACAGGAAAUACUUUAUUAAUUGCGCAAAACAAAACUUGUCUCCAUGGAUUUGGGUUUUAGUUUGUAUGUCUACAGAACAAAGUGAGAAAAUGGACCAUCAAGCCAGUAUAAAGAAAGAUACCACAUGCUCCAGUAUGUAUGACGUAAAUUUCUAGUGAUCCAUUUUACCAAAAUUCCUAUAGUACUAACAGUUGUUCAUCUUGGAAUUGAAAUAUAGCUUGCAUGGUGAGGCAGGACAAAAAAUGAUUUGGACUAUCUAUCAUGGUGUUGUGCCAUUAUAAUACGUAUCACAUUAUGGACUGAUUAAUAAGAGACAUUUCACAAAUAAAAAAUGCUGGCAAAUAUAGUUAGAGUGAAUCAUGUCUAAUCAUGUGGAAGCAGUAAUUUACUAACUGUGGAUAAAAAGUUUCACCAACAACUACAUGAGUUACAAUUUUUAUUUCUGUUCAGUCACUUCAAGAAAAAUUCUUUGGUCAUUAGCUUGCAAUCAUUAAAAAGCGAAGCAAAUAAAAGAUUCAAGAGUUCCCUUCCAAGUCAUUUAACAAAAAAGAGGAUCACAUUAAGGCAAACAUGCCUUUCCAUAUUUUCGGCUACAAUACUACAUGCCUUUCUAGAUUCAAGAGUUCCCCUCCAGUAUUUCAACCAGCUUGGAAUAACAUUCUAAAAUUAGGUGAAAACACCCUAGGGGGGGAAAUAACAUAAACAGCCUUCUAAAUAUUCUUCAAUCUGUCAAUCAUAGAUCCUUCGACUUGUUGGCCUUGUUUGGAUGUCGGUAUAAAUUAUCCGAUGAUAACCUAUUUAGUAUGAAAAUUUUAAUGUGUAAUUGGAAGGUUGAAGUUUGAAUUUCACUACUUGAAAGGCAUUGGCAUCCAUGAUUUGGGAGGAUAGCACAUUUCACCUACAAGGUGAUUUAUCUUAUUCUAGAAAAAUGACUUGAUCGCCGAAUAUGCUAUUCUAUUCUAGACAGACCACACUCCUAGCUUCCAAUCACAAUAAAAAUUCUCAUACCGAUAACUUAUUCGACGUCCAAAAAAGGCUGUUAAGAAACCAAAAAGGAACACAAUUGGUCAAAUUAACAGUUCAUUCACUAAGACUAUCAUCAUAGUGUCAUUUAUUCAUCGACAUUUAGGUUUUUCCAUAAAAUGCUCAAGGGACCUGGAUUCUCCCCGACUUUGGCAAAGUUAGAUACAUAUGCCACCAAGAAAGACCCAAAAUGAGCAAACUAGUUUGUUAUCUUUGACAAUAGACAGUUUGGAGACUAUAUGCACAAUAAUAAAAUAAAUCAAGUGAUGCUAAGCUUCUAGAUAAUCUUGUAACAAACUAGAAGAUGACUUGAUGCUGCCUAAAUAAAAAUAUAUUGGCUAAAUCACGCAAAUCCCCAUUGCAUCUUAAUGGAAAUCUCAAUUAACCUAUGCACAAAAGAUCACAUCAACUUCAAUCCUACACCUUACCAAUGUUUUCAAAUAGAUCCAAAAUUCUGGGAUAACAGUUGAAUUGCGAUGCAGAACUUCAAUGAACUAAGUUGGUAUAUCAUGCAAGUUUCGGGUUUAGAGUUUCGGGUUAGGUCUUAGGGUUUAGAGUUUAGGUUGAGCUACUGAAUAAUUAGAGUUAACAACACCACAUAACGGAUGAAACCCCAUAUUCGGAAAUCAAUCAUAACAAACACCACAAUGCAUCAUAAAGCUUGGACAACAAUGUCCCAUGAAUUAAUAGUUCUACAUAUAACCAAACAGAAACCAAAAGAUUCUUCAAAUGAAAGGAAAGAAGAUCGAUAGUGAUGUUGCAAGAGGCAAGGGCGUGAGGCACAGAGAAGAAGCACCACAUUAAAGCACCUUCACCAAAUUCUUUCUACAGCAGAAAAUUGGAGCUCCUGCUUUUGAGGCUCAAAAUUUCAUUUCUACUCCUUGCUGUAGUAAAAGGUAUAGAUUUUUCUUUUUGUCAAACACUCAAUUGGAAACUGUUGCUGCUUUAAGCAGAAGUAAAUGGGGAAAAAAAUAUAUGGAGACCCCUUCAACUGUAGUCUAUUCUAAAAUAACCCCUUCGCUUUUCUUUUUUUCCCCCCUGAUUGAGACCCCCUCAACUUUCACUUAUUUUGAUUUAAUCGAGUCACAUCAGAUUGACUGAGAAUUUUAUUAAAUUUAACAAAGCCCAAUCGCGAAUAAAAUCAUAAUAUUGAUUCCAAAGCCCAAUCGCUAAUAAAAUCAGAAUAUAGGCAUAUCUCUAAUUCAAAUGACUGAAAUAACUUAAAUCAUAAUAACUGGAAUUUAAUAGGCUAUCAAUCUACAGAAAUAUUAGUAAGGGACCUAUUUUUCAGAAGGGUAAAUUAUACCAUUGGUACUAAAAUUUAAGUAAAAUUUUGUUUGACAUCACACCUUCAUUUGUUUCAAUUAAGGCAUUGAACUUCAAUUUCUAAUUCAAUUAGGUCGCUUUUUUAAACUUGAAGUAAUUUCCCAAACAAAGUGAUUGUGAUAACUCAUGGCCACCGACUAAUCUCUCAGCGAUGCUCUGAUUCCUAAUUCAGUUAUUAAAUCAACUCUUCGAGAUGAUGUGAUAGUUGAAUAAUAUUGUUAUAGCCAUUAAAAUGACAAGCUGUCGCUGCAUUUUCAUUUCUUCAUAGCCGCAUUAGCCGCAGAGUCAUUACAUCACCAGAAAAAUCAAUUAUGUGCAGCGAUUCUACUGAAACAAAAAGUAAAGUUUAUGUUGAGACAAACCGUGGGUUGUUUCCUACCAGAUCGAUCUUUUGGGUAACAUGGUAUCAGAGCCAGGUUCUUAGCCCCCUACUUCUAAAGAGGUCAUGAGUUUGAUUCCCGUCGCCGCCGUUUUAUGGCAUAAGGCAUAUAUCGCGGUCUAUUAUUCCGUUAUCUUUUCCACGGCAUGGUUUAUCUGAUUUCCGCCAUUUUGCAUGCGAGCAGAAAGACAAAUUCUGGGCCGUUUUCUACUAAAUCGACGAGUACCAGUUCGACACCACAACUGCAGAAAACUAAACUUCGGGGACCGACAGUCUAAUUUGCACAUUUCAGGAUGGCAUACAGCAUUUUCAUCUUCAUCUAGCACUAAAACAGGACCUAAAAGGCCCUAACUAUGAUGUUCUUCGGAACAACAAUCAUUGAGCCUAUGUUUCGAUUUCAAUUUGCAAAAUGAGAAUCUCAUUUAACCUAAAAAGGAAUCAAAGAGGGUUAUGAUUACAGUUGCAGGAGACGGGGGCGUGGGGGGCGGAGGGGAAGGCCCACUUGGUGAGGUUGAACUCGGGGAAGGUGAAGAAGGUGCGGAUGGGCUCGUUGGCGGGGCCGGAGUCGCCCAGCCCGUGCAGCCACAGCACGAAGCUGCGAGCCGCCAUCGAUGGAGAAGGCGGCGGCGGCGGCGGAGGAGGAUUGACGGCAGACCGCCGGGGGAGGAGAAGGAAGGGGGACGCGAAGACGGUGAAGGCGAGGACGGCGAGGGAAGACGGUCGCAGUCGCGGGAGGAGGAGGGAAGAGGGGCAGGAGCGGAGGCUCAUCGGUCUGCGCGCAGUUCUUUCUCUAAUAAAAAAAAUUUCUUUGGUUUGGUGAAAUAUGUAUGAGACCCCCUCAACUGUAGACAUUUCUGAAGUGGGCCCCUCAAUUUUUUUGUUUUUGAGUGGACUAAAAUACAAAAAGACCUCCUCCUGGAUAUCUCCUUUUUACUCUUCCUCCCCAACUCUUAAAAAUUUAUAUAUAUUUUUUUUUACUUAAAAUUUCAAAAAUAUUUCUAUAAGAAAAAAAAUAAUAAUAUAUUUUAUUCAUUUUGAAGGAUAUUUUCGAUAUAAAUUAUAAAAAAUGAAUAAAAUAGUGAUAGAACUUUGACGGAGGGGGAAUAAAUGCAAUAACUUAAAAUGUUGAGGGGGUAAAAUAUAAUUUUGAAAGUUUAAAAAAAAAAAUGAAAAAAGAGUAUUUAUAAAAAUUUUCUGCAAUUUAGCCCUUUGAUUGUGACCUCACAACAUCUAUUGUUUCAAGUACGAUCAUUUUGAUUCAAAAAAUCUAAUCUUUUAAAUAUUUUUUUUCUAGACUCAAACUUUUAUUUAUACAAGUUAAUUUAUUGGUGAUUUCUUUAACUAAGGGUUUUGGUUUCGCUUCUUUUCACCUGAAUCGGAAUCCGAAUGGUGAAUCCGUGUGGUGUUGAGUAGCAACCCCAAUACCUUAUUUUUCAUCCGGUUCUAGAAGGCGGAUUGGUAAGUUGAAUCGGACGGAAUGGAUAUUAUUCGGAUUAAAUUAUUUUUUCAACUUUUUUUUAAAAUAUGAGUUAAAUUUAAAAUUAAAUAUGUAAUUUAAAUUUAUUGAACUUAAUUUAAAUUAAAUUAAUCAAGUAUUUCGAAUCUAACUUAUAAAUUUGAAUUUAAAUUAAAUUUUAAUUUUAUAUAAGUUUUAUUCAAUUUAUUUCAAACUUAAAUUAAAUUAUAUGAUUCAAAUUAAAGAUUUAAAUUGUAUUUUAGUUUGGAAUUUGAAUAAAUCAAAAUUUAGUUUCGCAUUUUAAUUAUCACUCAACUUCAAAUUUUAAUUUUUUUAAAAAAAAUAGACUUUAAAAUUUUGAUUAUUUCAAAAUUUUGAUGUAAUUUGUAUAUUUAUAUUAUUUGAAUUUAAAUAAUAUAUUUAAAGAUAUGUUAGUAUAUUAAAUUAUUACAUUUUUUAUAUCACCUGAACCAAACACGCAAUGGGAAUUGAUUUAGUUCGAUUCGAUUCAGGUGAUGAACCAAACAGAAUUAGUAAUGAGUCUUCCGUAUUCCGAUCAGUUAUUUUUGAUUCGAUUCGGAUUCGACGUCACUUCGAACAAACGGCCCUAGUUUUAGGUGAUUGUUCUUUAAUGAUUGUAGUCGUAUAAAUUAUGUAAAACAUGUAAGUCAAGCUCAUAAAGUAAUUAAUGCAUUCAUAUUCAAGCUCAUAAAGUAAUUAAUGCAUUCAUAUUUUGAAGUAGAAAAGUUAUUUGAUGGCUCAAAUCAUAUAAAAAAAAAUUAAAUAGCAAAAUCAAAGUUUUUUUUAAUGGUUAGGUAGUUUGAUCAAAAUGGAUCAUAGCUCAAAUACAUGCUACUCAUUUUCACCCUUUUCGUUGUAUAUUUGAGACCCCUUCAUUUUCUAUUUUAACGAUGUCACGAGAUCCAACAACUAGCAAUUGUAAGCACUCGACUUUUCGUAUCAUGUUGGAAAGAAAACUCACCACCAUACUGAAUCCACCAGCGCGACGUGCCAAACAAUGCCCUUCUCCUAUUAGAAAUCCACCAAGAUAAUAAAAGCAAGUAUCAAGAAAAAAACCUAUCUAAAAUAGAAGUAAAAAUUUCAAAUAUCAGCUGAUGCGCUUUAUAUAACUAUUGAAACAUAUAUGAUUUUCGAUAUACUCGCAAAAACUACUCACAAUAAUAAAGGCUCAAAGUCAAAGUCACUAGAGAGCUCUGCAGAUAAGUCCCUAGGCAUAAAUACAGCCUAUUUCCAAUAGAAAAUGACAAGUUUUAUGUUGAUUGCACAUAAAUCUGUAAUUCUAUAUAAAAAUGUUGAAGAUGACACAAUAUCUUUAUGUUCACAAGUUUUGCCUAUUGUGACUAAAUUCUAACUACGUUCGCUUGUGCGAUAUUUAUAAUUUUAGCAUCCUGAUAUAGAAUCCAAUUGAGUUACUCGUCAGACAGUUAAGAUCUCUUAUCACUCUUGUUCAUUAGAGAACCAAAAGAUAGUGCAAACAAUGUCCCUCUCAUCAGCCGAAAUUAGGACAAAGCUUCUGGAUUUGACUGAUGAAACUACUCUCUUUUCACUGUGUUAGAUAUGUCUCGAAUUCUAGUAUCGCAAGAUUUUUUUUAACUCUAUUAUGUUUUGAUAGUCCCAUUACGUUAAGUUUAAAUUAUGCCUAAUCUAAUUAAGAUAUUUCUAGUCUUAGUGGAUUAUACUCCCAAUCGUAUUAGAAUUUAGCCACUAUUAUGAAUAUACCUUUUAUUCCAUUGAUUUAGUGUGGCAGAUGAGAAAGAAUAUGGGUGUAUUUUUGGAAUUAGAAUUUUGUGAGAGAGGCUAUUUUGUACAUCACUUUGAUUAUAAUGAAGAUCUCGGCUCUGUCUUUAUCCGUGGACGGAGGCCGAUGGCCGAACCACGUAAAUGUUAUGCGCUUUAUUUUUCUUCUCUCUUUCUCGAUUCUCUUUAGGUAUUUUCGCACCGGACGAACUAGAUCUUUUUCGCCUUUAUUCUAACGCACCACUUGUCUAUUCAACCCACAUUUAUUUUGGCUUACUUGUCAAACAUAAGUUUGUAGCCAAACCAUCAAGAGCUUUAGCCGAAAAUAAUUAAAUCUACGUGUUACUAAUAGCAUAGCAGCUCAACUCGCCAGAUCGUAACUGCACUAUUCUAUAAAUAGUAAGCCUUGUAUAGGAUAUAUUCUUUCAUAUACAAUCAAUCCCUAAAGACCAGGUCACAUAUAACCACCUAUUUCUCCUUACCACCACAUCCAUAAUUACCUUCUAAAUCCACCCCAAUUUAAAAUAUUAUAAUAAUAUAUUUAAUAUUAUAAAAUAAAUUAUUAUAUAUUUAUAAAUAAAAUUAUAUAUAUAUAUAUAUAUAUAUAUAUAUAUAUAUAUAUAUAUAUAUAUAUAUAUAUUAUAUAUAUUCUACUAUACUAUUAAUAGUACCAACCACUUGCUAUUAGGUUUUCGACCUUUGAUGAAGGAAUGUGCAGUUAGAAUGACAGUAUCCUCUUAGGGUUGCAGUGGGUAGUUAGUUGAAUAAUAUGAUCUUACGACACACAAUUCGAUAGCACAAGCAUUUAUACUAUCGAUAAUAUAGUAGUCCGGCUCUCUCUCUCUCUCUCUCUCUCUCUACUCUCUCUCUCUCUUCUCUCUAUAUAUAAUAUUAUAGUCAGCUACUAUACUAUUUAUAGUACUAAGCGUUUUGUAUUAUUGAGUUUUUGCUGUAUAAGACUUGCCUAUAUAUAUAUACUAUAUAUAUAUAUAAUAUAUAUAUUAUAUAUAUAUAUAUAUAUAUAUAGAGUCCGGCUAUUAUACUAUUGAUAGUACCAAGCAUUUGAUGCUAUCGAGUUUUCUGCUGUUAGAUCUAUCCCUUUAGCCAUUUUCAUCCGUUAGAUCAGAAUAUUCAACUAGCCACUCACUCAACCCUAGAGGGCUACUAUCAUCCUAACCGCACAUCCUUUCAUCCAAGGGCCGAAAACUUAAUAGCAAGCGAUUUGUGCUAUUAAUAGUAUAAUAGCCUAAUUCUAUAUAUAUAUGCUCGGGCUACUAUACUCUUAUAAGUAUAAAUUCCUUUAUACUUAUAAAUUUUUAGUCGUUGGAUGUGCGAUAGAAUGAUAGUGGUCCCCUAAGAUUGAGUGGGUGAUUCGUUGAAUAAUAUGAUUUAACAGAUGAAAACGGUCAAAAGAAUAGAUCUAACGGUCGAAAACUUAUGAGUAUAAAGAGAUUUAUACUCAUAAAAGUAUAUAUAGUAGCCAAACUCUAUAUAUAUAUAUAUAUAUAUAUAUAUAUGAGUUGAGCUAUGAUACUUUUACAAGUAUCACCAUCAUGGUGCUAUUAGGUUUUAAGCCAUUGGAUCUACCUUUUUUAUUAUUAAUAGCCCUUGGAUUAAACACUAUUCCACCUACCACCACCUACCACCAUCAUCUCAACCUCACAUCUCUCCAUCCAAGGGCUAAAAACACACAAGUAUCACCCCCAUGAUACUUUUACAAGUAUUCUAGCCCUACUAUAUAUAUAUAUAUAUAUAUAUAUAUAUAUAUAUAUAUAGCUAAAUUACAGAAAAUUUUUCUGUCAAAAUGCGAUUUUUCACUUUCCCCCCUGUCAUUUAAAAACCUACACUUUGCCCCCUUGUAAAAUAAAAAAUGUGCACUUCGCCCCCUACUGUUAGUGAUCAGUUAGGGUUUCAUAAAAUAUUUUUUUAUGCCCAAAAUACCCCUCCGCCCUUUUUCCUUGUUACUUCGCUUUCCUCCGCUUUCCUCCGUCUUGCCGCCUUGCCCUCCUCUAUUGCCUCGCCCUUGCCCACAUUCCCGUUCGUGCCCACCAACACCCCUUCGCCCUCCUCCGUCGCCUCUUCUUCGCCCUCGUUGUCGUUACCCACCUCUCCAUCCACCCCCAUCUCGAUUUUCAUUCUACUGUCGCCGAAAUCGAGGGAUGGCGAGGGUGCAGGAGGAAGAUGAGGCGUGAACGGCGGCGAAACCGCGGCUGAUCGAGGCGUGAACCGAGGCUGAUCAAGACUGCUGUUGAGGAAGAUGAGAGAGAAGACGAAAAUCGUGAGGAGAAAAUGGUUAUUUUAUCAUCACAGUACACACCGUACCCUCCUGUAAAUAUUUUUCAUUUUAUAAAGGAGCAAAGUGUAGGUUUUCAAAUGACAGGGGGGAAAGUGAAAAAUCGGGUUUUGACAGGGAGUUUUAUGUGAUUUAGCCUAUAUAUAAUUAUAUAUAAUAUAUAUUUUAAUUAUAUAAAAUAAUAUAUAUUAUGUAUUUUAAUUAUAUGUAUAUAGAAUUUAGAAUAUUGGGCCCACAAAACCAAACCAGCAAAAUUCUACUCUAAUUACUCUUUUUCUCUCUUUUUUACUUUCUCGGUGAGCCGCUUUUUCUAAUUUUUUUAGUAUUAUAAUAUCGUAUUUCAUGCAUUUAUUUAUAUGUUAAAUUAUUAUAUAUUUUUUAUAUCAAAUUUUAGAUAAUACUUUAUAAAAAUUAAAGUAUGGAUUGCAUGAUGUUAAGAAUUUCCAGCAGCUCGUUUAGGACUCGAGCUCGCUCGACUCGAAGUUAGGCUUGCUCGAGCUCGGCUCGAAUUAAUUUCAAGCCAAGCUUGAGCCUAAAUUUAGGCUCGAAAUUAAUUUCAAGCCAAGCUUGAGCUGAGGUAAGUUCGCUCGAGCUCGGCUCGCUUCCACCGCUACAUAGCAGCUCAACUCUCCGGAUCGUAACUACACUAUUCUAUAAAUAGUAAGCCUUGUGUAGGAUAUAUUCUUUCACAUAUAAUCCCUCCCAAAGACCAGGUCACAUAUAACCACCUGUUUCUCCUUACCACCACAUCCAUAAUUACCUUCUAAAUCCAUCCCAAUUUAAACACCAACUCUUCUUCAACACUCCUCCAUCUCCUUUCCUUAUUCCUCACCUCCUCUUCUUCAGAGAUCCAAAAUGGUUGUGCUACGCGCAUGGCUUCUCCUCUCUUUGCUCGCCUUCGCCCUUCUGACGCGGUCGACGCAUGCCGAGGACGCAGCCCCCGGCAACCCGCACGCGCCGGAGAACCAAGAAGAGGAGGUGCUGUCGGUGAACGUGCCGUCGACGACGACGGCGGCGGAGAACGAGGAGUAUGACAAGGAUGAGUUGCCGCUGGAGCAAGAGUUGGUCGUUCUCGGUCACUAGCUAAGCAAGUAGUGCAUGAUCUGAUUUGUUGGAGAAAAUCCAAAAAGUUUAUUUGAGUUUUUAUUUAUUCAUUCAUUUAUUCAUAUUAUGUUAUUUAUUAUUUAUUUACUUAUUUAUUCUUUAUCUUUUGAUCUUUAAUUUAUUUACUAAUUAUGUGAUUAACUUGGUAUCUUUUGAGCCUGAAUGCAUCUCUUAGGAAAAAUUCUGGAAUGCAACCAGUUAUAUUGGUGAUGUGGCGUCUCUAACUAAUUAAAUGAAUCUUUUUAGAUUAAUCUGUCACAUCAUGAUUAUAAAAAAUAUAUUUUUAUUGUAUUUUUUCUAAAAGAAGAGAUGCGGCUGGUUUAUUAUUACUGAUAUGGUGUAAGUGUGAUACAGUAAAUUUUUUCAUCGCUAUUGUCAUUCAUGUAACACAUGAGCAUUGUAGAGAGAAGAGAAAAAAAAAAAGAAAAAAAAAAGAAAAAAAAGAGAGUUCUUUUUCUCUUAAUUUUUUUUUUUUUUUUUUUACUUUCUUGAUAUAUCUAAUCACUGUAUGUAAAAAAAUUCUAUCAAUCUCCUCUUUGGUCGUGCUCACGGAAAAAGAAAUUCUGGUUGUAUCUUAGGAUAGUAUUCUCGGUUAAUCCCACACAUAGGAUGAGAAUUGUCUGUCUCCUUUUUUUUUCAACAACUUUAGAAUUUUUGGUAUCUACUUUCUUAUGAAUAGAUUUGAUAAUUUCUUUAUCACAAAAUUAGUUAGAUUCUUUAAUCACAAUUAAAUUUUAUUGUUAUUUUAAUCAAUAUAUAUAUGUAUGGGUGGUUCUUAGAAGUUUUGAGGCCCUACAAAUUAUAUCUUUACCAGGGCUUGUUAGAAAUAAUUUGAAUGGUCUACUGCAUUGUUGACUAUAAUAUUUGAUGAGAAAAUUAAUUAAAGUUGAUUACAUAUAUAUUUACAUUUAUUGGUACUAAUAUGUAUAGAAUGUUAUUUUGCUAGAAUUUGCACAAACCCAUUGUGCUACGUACUCCAUUUUUUAUGAUCUAAGUUUUCAAAUUUAUGAUCAGUACCGUUGAAUAUGAAAUAUUUAAACAAUUUAGAAACCGAAAUUUUAGAAUUUUUUUAAACAAAUUAUUUAGUGAUCAAAAGAUUUCAAAUUUGAUAAGACGUUGUUUAUUAGUUUAAUAAUAGAGAAACAAUUCAAAUGGGCUAAAUUUUUAAUGGAACGUUAUAUUACUAUCUAGAUCAAGAUUAGAAAUUCUAAUCUUGAAUUUAAAAAAUUCUUCUCUACUUUUAGAAUUUGUUUGAUUAUAAUUGUUUAUUUCACUGGGACUCGAUACAUUGGCAAAUGAUAUUUAAAAAUCAUAAAACUUACUUACUAUAUACACUACAACAGAAUUAGGUUAUAGGGAUACAUGUUUGGGACACUUUUGAGUAAGUGUCUCAUUUAUGCUAAAACUUAAAAACACAUCUACUAAUGUCUAAAUAUAAAGCCCAAUCCAACCAAAAAUAAAAGAUUGCUCUACUCAACCUACCACACCCAGUCCAUUUGGCCCGAUUACAAACAGAAAAGAAAAAAAAAAGAAAAAUCAAUUACCAUCUUUCUUCUCUCUUCAUUCAAUCCACUGAAAUUCUAGACGAAGAGCCUUUCCUAUCGUCCUCCUCCGCCACCGCCACCGCAACCAACGAGAUAGAGUUUCGGCAGUUGCUAAAUGCUUAAAUAAGUGUUGGUAAAUUAGCAGCACUCUUUUAGGUUAUAGCGACACUCUUUAACUGUCACUAUAUACCUAGCGACCCCACAUAUAGCAACACUUUUUAAAAGUGUCGGUAAUUUUAGCUAGUAACACUUUUUUGACAUGUACCUAUAUUUAAAAGUGUCGCUAUAGACCGUUUUUGUUAUAGUAAUAGUGUUCUAGAUUAUUUUUAAUCAUAGGGAUGUCAAUGGGUAUGGAUACCUAAAUUUUAUUUCGAAACCGAAUCUGAACAAAGCGAAUUUACCUGAUGCUAAAUGAGUAUAGUUUCGGAUACAAAUAUAAAAAAUAAAACCCAACGAAUUUGAAUAGACACACUUGAAUUAGCUUAAAAUUAGUGUUAUUGAGUAACUUUUUCUUUUUUUUUUGCAGAAGCGCGCACUACAAAAUAAUGCUCCGUUUGCAAAGAAAAACGUUCACCAGGAAAAAAACUAAUUUUCAGUGCAAUUAGAAUUUGUGACAAAUAAUAGUAAUUUUGAAAAUUAUUUGUGUCAACCUAUAUAUUUGUCAUUUCAGUUAUUUACUAAUUGUUAGAGGAUUUUAUCAAUCAAAUGUUAUUCGAAAGAUUUGAUAUGCCGCUCUGAAAUAGUUUUGAUACUUUUGCUUACGUGCAUAAUAGAAAAAGAUAAAUUGUAUAACCAAAAAUAUAAUAAAGGAGGCACGAAACGAAAAUCUAACUAAUUAAAUGGUGGCUAAAUAUGGUCCAUAUUUGAAUUCACAAUGCAUGAAACCUAGGGAUUAGCAUCUGUUUUUUCUUAAAAAUGUCUUAAAAAUUAGGUCAAAUAACGAUCUGAAAAUAUUACAGAGUCAAGAGUCACUGGUUCAACUAGUGGGUCAACCAAUGGUUGGAUCAGUGACGUCAAUAUGACGUCAUAAAUAUUUAAUUAUUAUUUUUAAUUUUAUACAUGUAUUAUUAUUUUAUUAUCAUACUUAAUAUAAAAUAUUGAUUUUUUCAUACCAAAUUAAGUAGAUAAAGUUUUGAAGUUUCAUUUUUUAUAAGAGUAAUAUGUACUAAUGAAGAAUAAAAUAAGUUAAGUUUAUUUUAAGCUGUUGGAUUUUAAUAUGACUUGAUAAAAAAAAAAAAAUUCGACUGGUUUCACUAAAAUCGGAUCGAUUCACUGGUUCAAUAGUUGAACCACUGAGUUGAUGGUUCAAAGCUAUUUUUUUGACUUAUUCAGUUCGAAGGAUUGAAUCGAACAACUUAUAGAUUGGAUUAUAAUCAGAUAGAUGGAAUCGGUAGGUUCGACCUGAUUUUUAAAUCAUUGUCUUUUAUUAGGACUCUCUGAAAUACCAUAUGCUGUGUGUAAGGUAAAAAUAGUUGUACAAUAAAAAGCAUUUGAAGAAUUGUAACACCAUCCAAUAGUAAAUAAGGAAUUAUUGCAGCUGAUAUGUAUAUGGUUUGAGAUGCUAUAUUGCAAUUGAAACUUGAAUUUGUGAUGGUUUGUUAUUGUCAAAGAUAUAUAGUAUGCUUUCAAACAAUAUUUCCUAUUGUGAACACAUUUUAGCAAAUUCUCAUAAAAUUAAUUUUAUAGGUUCACAAAAUCAUUUACCUAUAAUUUUGUGUGCCACCCAAUAAUUAUUUCCUAUGAACAAAAGAAAUAUAUCCUUUAAUCUCAUACCAGAGAGAGAGAGAGAGAGAGAGAGAGAGAGAGAGAGAGAUGUUUAGCAUUUUGAUGGAGAAAAAUUUGAUGGAGAAAAGAGUCUUACAUACUCUUUAAUUGGCAUCCAAUUAAUGAUGACCAAAUGGUUCCUUCCAAAACCAAAUGGAAGGGAAAACAAAAAAAACAAAAAAAAACAAAAAAAAACAAAAAAGGUCCUCAAAAUUGAAUCCAACAAGAAAAAUAAAUCAAACCACUUGCAAAAACCAUUAUUAACAAAUUCUACAAAAAAAAAAAAAAAAAAANUUGCAGACAAGCAUAUUCGGCAUGUUCCUGUUAUCGAUCAGAAGGUAGUCGGCAUGAUCUCAAUCGUUGAUGUAGUGCGAGCGAUCAUAGAUCAACAACACGGUGAAGUGAAGCGUUUGAAUGAAUACAUCAGAGGAGACUAUUACUAGUGUGUAAACCACGGAGAUAAUAAAUAAGAAAAUUGGUGCUCACAAAUGGAAAUGUUGUGAUGCUCAGACAAUACCACUAUUUUCUGACAUUUCUGUAUUUACUGUCAAUUGGCAGUUACUGAAAAGCCCUUCCUGCAAAGAAUAUGUGUUUUUUUUAUUUGGCGUAACUUUUAAAAUAGCUUUUGUACUUACCAAAACACUCUGCAUUUGAUAAAAAAAAUGAUUUAGAUGUUUUGCUGUGCAGAAAGCUAAGAUGAGUUUGCCCCGCUCGACCCGCCCUCAUUCUGGCGGGGCGAGGGCGGGAUAUUGGGUUCGGAUUCUCUCUUUUUUGACUUGAUCUGAUUUAAAAUUGUAUUAAUUUAUUUGGUCCGAUCAGACCCGGCAUGAUAAUUUUUCGAGCAAAUUUAUUUAGGCUUUAAAGUACAUAAUAUAUUUUUUUCAGCCUGGGCCUGCCAAAAUAAGUUCGGAUUGAAAACCGGGUUAAUUUUACGGCGAGAAAUUAGCUAAUUUUACAGCGAAAAAUUGAGACCAGGGUGAAAAAAAAAGAAGAAACAAAGAAGUUCAAGUGGGGAACGAUGAAGUUAAGCACGCGCUAAUUAAAGUUAAAAUAAUUGUAUCCCAAAAAAAAAAAAAAGUUAAAGGUGACGUCAGUUAAAAAAAUAAAAUAAAAUAAUAAAGUUGGGGAGUCCAUUUUAAAAUUGUAUGUAGUUGAGGGUUAGAUUAAGAUCCCCUCAAUUUCUAAUUUUUUAAAAUUAAGCUAUUUCAGUACAAAAAAAAAUUAGGAAUUUAUCAAAUUCAUUAGUAAUUUCACCAAAUUUAAGGGACUUCAAUUACAUUUUAGCAAUUAAAACUAGACCAGUUAAUAGUUAGCAAUUGAUAGAGUCGUUAAAUUUGAUAAAAGUUUUAACUUAGCUCAUUAUAAAAUAAAAAGUUGAGGAGUUUUUUUCAGAACAAAAUAUAGUUGAGGGGUCUCCUUACAUUUUUAUCUAUUCAUAAGAUCCCUUAUCUAAAUAAAAAAAAUUGACCAACUUUUUGCUUCUUAAAAAGUUUUCGGCUAACAACUUACAUAUACAGGGUCAAAGAUCUUGCCCUAGUUUUAGUUUGAAACCAUAGAUUUCUUUGUGUACCAAAAGUCAACCCUUUGACCACGGCUACAGCUUACUUAAUUGACCUUUUGAAUACAUAAAUAAAAUAUGUUUUUACUUCUUUUAUACGGCAAAUUGAUAAUAGGAUAGUCAUGCGGACGCAAAAGAUUUUUGUUUUUAGAAUUGUAUAUAAAUUAUCUUAAAAAUCUAUCAUUGACGAGAAGCAAAAUUUUAAAUCGUAAAUACGGCCCUGGUACGACGUAAGUUGUAAGCAAAUAACUUACUUGGAUAUCUAAACAAGCUCUUCACCUACAAAUCUUAUCAAAUGUUAAUUUCUUUUGUUUACUCAAAUACCUCGCUAAUGAGAAAUUCUAUUAUGUAACAGCCGCACCACAUCAUCUAUAACUAGUCAAUCACAUCUCUCUAUCUGAGCGAAAAGUACAAUAAAAAUAUUUUUUUAGUUGGUGACGCGACAUUUGUAAUAUCACCGAUACAUUCUUAAUUUUUCCCACAGCAAUACACUAAUUGUAUUUAACACAGUUAGCUAAAAACUUGAUGAUUAAUACCCGAUAUUCCAAAUUUAAAAUCUAAUUGCUUCGUAUUCUAAGUUUAUUUUAAAAAAUAUAUAAUAAAUGAAACAUCAAGAUCUGAUGUAGUCUGGAAAGUAAAUUUAGAUGUAGGAAAGAGUUAUGAUUAGAUUAGAAUACUCGACCAUUUAUUUAUUUAUUUAUUUUACACUCAAAUAGUGGUCCUAUUCACCUAUAUAAAACGGAUUAGUAUAAAAGGGGAAUGAUAAAAGGAACAACAAAGAUAAAAGUUAAUUUGAUAAAAAAUAAAAAAUUUCCGAGUUUGGUGUAUAAACUAUAAAGAAAUGGUCAAAUCGAUAGUGACAUCAAAAAAUUUUAAAAAGGGAAAAAAAAAAAAAGGGUGGCCUCGGGUCAGAUCAGGUCGGUUUCAAUUCAAUCCGAUUUGGAUUCUUAACCCGAAUCCAACCCGAUAAAUAAUAAUAAUUAUUAAAACAAAAGAAAAUUUGUUAAGAAAUAAUAAAGAAAAUUAUUAAAUUCUAAAUAAAUUUCUUAAUAAUACAUAAAUUAAGAAAAUUAUUAAGAAAUAAUAACGAAAUUUAUUAACAAAAGCAACUAGAAAUAGAAUGGGCAACAAAGAAAGAAGCACAAAAUGUACAAAAGUACGCAGCCAAUCAUAUAAUGCAUCUAAUAAAUUAUUAUAAUAAGUAGAAUUGGGCUUGAAAAUACUCAAAUAAAUUCGUAAGUAAAUAAUAAUAAAAAACAAUAAAAAUAGGAGUAAGGUUAGAAUACUUCAGAAGUAAACAAAAUCGCUUACUUAUACCAUUAUUUCUGAUGAUGGGGCAUCUAACUCGAUGAUCAGUACUAUUAAACUGUAUUUAGACUAAUCGAACUUCGCAAGAAUCAAAUUUUGCAAUUUUUUGUCAUCAUUUAUCUAGCGACCAAAUGAUCUCAAAUUCACCACCAAUAACAUUGUCACUUCGUGACCACUCCAAUAGUUAGUCAAUAAUAUCAAAAAGUUGUAAAAUUUGAAACUUAGAAUGUUCAAAUAGUCUAGAUUAUGAUAAGGCGCCGAUCGUCGAUUCAGAUAACCCAUCACCGAGAAUGAUGCGUAAGUAAAUAGUCCCAUAUACUUCUAGAAGCAUCCAAGCUUUACUUCGAAAAUAGAAAGUAAAAUAGAGCAAGUCUUCGAUGAAAAUGAAGGGGAAAAAGACUCUUCUUGGCUUGAUGUGUGUAUUCCAUCAAUCUUCUUCCUUUACAAUCAUAAACAAGGUUAGCAAUUCAAUAACAUUUGCGACGUAAAUUCGAUAUAACUGAUCCUGCGCAACCAGAAUAAUUCGAGAAAUAUCAUUACACCAUGCAUUAUUUUUAAGCAUAUAGAAGUGGGAAGAUAAAAGUUUUCAAACAGAAACUCACAAUUUACUGUGAUAACACAAAAUCCUUGCAGUGUAAGCUAUUAUGGUUGAAUCUCCUGAAUCACCGAAAUGACUUGACCGACGGUUUCGAAUUGGCGCCUUUCCUUAAGAAGCCUUUUAGCACAGUUGAGAGCGUUUCGCUCGCAAGAUGCCCGCUUGCUUGCAUCGGCGAUCGAUUCGAAAUCCUCAACAUGAGCUAUCCCCACUAUUCUCCUGCAUUCAAAACCAUUUAAUUGUUCACUUCAAAUGUAAAAUUUCAAGUGCUGUAACAAAUAUUUUUGUUAAGGGGUUCUUGGCCUAUAAAGGGAAUUUUGUAAUGGAAUUUCUUUUUAAAUUCAAUGACUUUAUUACUCAGAUAAAUGAUAUUUAUGUAGUCUGAGAUGUUUAUAUGCCAAGUGAAGCGGUUUAUUUUGGAAAGGCUAAAUUACAGAAAGCCCCCAUGUCAAAACCCGAUUUUUCACUUUCCCCCAUGUCAUUUAAAAACCUACAUUUUGCCCCUUUGUAAAAUAAAAAAUGUGGCUACGGUGUGAACUAUGAUGAUAAAAUGACUAUUUUGCCCCUCAUCAUGUUUACAGGAGAGAAGACUGAGGGCAUUUUUGGCAUAAAAAAGUAUAUAAUAAUAUUUUAUAAACGAAACCCUAACGGAUUACUAACGGUAGAGGGCGAAGUGAACAUUUUUCAUUUUAUAAAGGGGCAAAGUGUAGUGUAGGUUUUUAAAUGACAGGAGGGAAAGUGAAAAAUCGGGUUUUGACAAUAGGGUUUUAUGUAAUUUAGCCUUUUGGAAAAGAGAGGUAAGUCAAAAACAAGUUAAGAAAACCAGAAUAUCUGAACAUAGCAUGAUCCUAAGAAAUGUAUCAUUACCGUUUGUACAAGACGGUAUACUAAGUAUCUAUCUAAUGACCAUAGCCACUUUACACCUUUUUCUCACGGCGUAGCCCCAAAAUAUAUUAAAGGAAAGAAAAACCCAAAAAUAUUUGGAGCGGCGAAGGACUCGUUUCUUAAUCACCUACUUGACAGUUCUUGUUAGCAAAUAAUUAUGCACUCCGAAGGAUAAACAAUUAACGGCUAAGGUGUUAUUUUGAUGCAUCUAGAAUAUGUUUCACUACGACAAAUAUUUGCGACAUUACAGAUGACCGUAGCUUUUUAUUGGCUCUGAUUCUAUGCAGAAACUAUAUCAAACUCCUCCAUUAAGCAUAGAUAGUUCAAAAUACUUUGACCUUUCGGUUGGGAGUACCGAGUACAUAAUUUUCUGAUAAAUAAGCAACAAAAUAUCUAUUUCUGAAGUAUAAAGACAAAAGAUAAAUUGGAAAAUUUAAGGAAGAAUCCACCUAAUAAAACAAAUUAGAAUUAAACUUUUUCUCUAAGCUUGAACUUGGUAAUUUCAGUAUCGCACAAUAUGACAAAGAUCAGAAUCUAGAGAAUUACCUUAUCAUUUUGGCAGCACCGAAUCCAAGAGCAUCAUGAAAUAAAUCUUUCAAGUACUUUUGCUGGAGAGAAAUCCAAAGUUCUGGCUUGUUGUAUAUUGAAAUCAGAUAAGCUUCACCCUUCCCAUCUUUGUGUUCGUCCCAAAGAGAAAUGAACUUCUUCUGGAAAAGAUCCCAAGUUUCUACAAUCGUCCUUAAGAUCCAUUGCUUGUAUGCCUACAAAACUCGAUAGAUAAAAAUUUAACCAAGAGAACAACCAGUCCCAGAUAUUUCAAUACUAGUACUAGAAUGAUUUUUGAAUCAGCUGCUGGAGCUUGAAGCCAGCUUUGCUGGCUAGUGAUGCUGGUUAAUAGUAUAGUGUGAGGUAGCUAUUCAAUAGUGGUUAAAGGGCCUUUUGGGAAUAUCAGUGCAAGAAUUUCAUAUCACAAACCAAACAUACCCAAACAAAAGGUUAUACAUUGUUACACAACAUCAGAGGGUUUCUGAUAAUUAGAUUCCAUAUAUCCACGGAUUUAACGGCCCAUCGGCAAAGGCCGUGCCCAUUGUGCCAUACUGUGCUAGCAUGACCCAAACUCUCUUUUCUUCGAAAUUAGCAAGUAAUUACCUCAAUAAAGUGCAAAAGAUUUGAUUAAGUUUUGUAAGAAGAGAUUGGAAUAUAGUGAUGCCCAAAAAAAUAAUUAUUUUACUCCAUAUGACAACUUAUAGACAGUCAUGCGUACAUAAAUUUAGAUGUUAACAGAUAUAUAGAUUUAUAUAUAUACGCUAGACCUUUCUUGAUCACAUGCACGGGAGCGCGAAACACAAGAGAUAUUUGCACAUAAGGUAGGGUAAUUAUUGUUAAUCUUGAAAAAAAAAAAAAAAAGGAAAGGAAAGGCUCACUGUCUCUCUUCAUGAGACUGUCACACUUGUAGAUCCAGGAACUUUUAUCUCUUUAGGGACGAGAUUGACAGAGGUAGUCUAGCACCUGGUUAGACCAUGCUAUCCCUACCUUGAUAUAUAAAAGAUGAAGCAGGUAUGCUAAAUAAGCGACGCAGUCCAAUAAAAAUGACCGCCAAGAGAGCCAUCCAGCGCCUAGAUCAUAGCAGUCGCAUGAUUCAUACUUGCUGAACUUCAUUACUAGUUUGUCUAAACAGAUAAGCACCAGGUCAUAGAUUUAAGAGUUAAACGUGUAUCACUGGAAUAAGAAAUCUUAGUCUUCUACCAAGAGUUGUCGGGCUACUCAUUUCAAAUCUUUUCAUCCUUUCAAUUCAACAUGAGAACUAACUCCUGAAACUUCGGCUCAAUUUUAUCUAAUGAGGUAAUCAGUGAAUGGGCCAAGAAUAAAAGAAGCAUACUCCAGACUCUUUUAUUUUUCAUAUCCAUUGCUAAUUUUUUUCAAUCCAAAUUAGCACCGACACAAGUUAAAUCAUGCAAACAGUAUUUAUUACAUCAAUCACAUCAGCUAUGCAAGAAAAUGAUAUGUAACAGCUUAAAACAUCAAAGAUAAAUGAAUUUGCUCGAAAAGAAAGCAGUUCGUUUGGUUCAGUGAUUAUAAAUGGUUUAUAAAUCUUGGCUAUAGUGGAGGUAUCCGAAACAGUGUGGGCAAGUCUCUAUUAGUCAUCAGAACUUUUAAAACUUAUAAUUAACAACGGUGACUAACAACAUUUAAAAAAGACAAAUACAUAACAGCAAUUAAAUGUUUUCUGAAUAAAUUAAAUAAUUGAUAUGUACCUUACGAUCAUUUCCUUCAUUAGCAUGUCCAUCUUGUGAAAAGUAGGCCAAAAUCAAGUUCCCUAAAAAAGCUCCUAUAUCGAACCCCAUUGGACCGUAGAAAGCAAAUUCUGGAUCAAUAACCUGAGUUGAAUCACUAGUAACCAUGAUAGAACCAGUAUGCAGAUCUCCAUGAAUUAAAGCUUGAGCUCUCUCACAAAACCUACAUAGAAAGAAAAUCUGGCAAGACUUCAGAGAAAACAGCAAAAAUGCCCCUGAAAAACAAUGUAUUUGCAUAUAUAUCCCUACAGAUCUGAGAUUUUGUUUUAUAAUACCUCAUAAUUCUUACACAUAAAGCCCUUGUAGUUAGAAAUGUCGCGCUUCUCUAAUACAAAACCAACUUUACCCAUUAGUCGGAUUACCAUCAUAAAUUUGCACUUAAGAGGGCUAUAUACGAAACUACAGAUUUUAUAGGGGUAUACAUGUAAAUAGAUGAUUUUAGAAGAAUAUAUAGUUAGAAAGUUCAUUUUAAUAUUGCUUUAUACAUUGAUUUCAGCCCGGCUACUUCAAUCUUUAGAGCAUCAUCUUCCCGAACAGCUUCAGCGUCACGAUCAAGGUAAGGAGAAGUCCAACGAUUAAAGUGCGAAACCCUAUAAGGGUCUGAGAAAACUACUUGCUCGGUGAGCCUACAUAGCUCUAGAUUCCCGCAAAAUUCAGCUACUGCAAUUUGAAUUAAAGAAUGUGUCAAAAAGAUUUCUCUUAAUUAUGAAAUUAUGCUACAGAAUAUGUCAAGUAUGUCAAUUAACAGACAGCAAACUCAUGAAUUUCAAUUGCUAUGAACUGGCGAAUGUCGAAAUUACCUGCACGUCUAUGCUCUGCUGUAGAAUGAUAUAGAAGGGAAGUGAAGAAAAGUGUCUUUGCCAUAUAUUCUGACAUAUGCUCUGCAAGCAAUGGAUAUUCAAUUCCAGCAAUCAACCCUUUUCGGAGAAUAAUAUGGGGAGGCUCCAAGUAGCGCAUUCCAAUCACUGACAUAGACCUGUCAAAAUGAUAAACCUCAGGCACAUGAUCCGGGCACAGCCGGCCGUGCUCUUUUAACGCCAAUGCUUCGAAAUAUGCACGCUCCUUUGUCAUCGGCCAUGACUCGCCCACACAGCGGAUAUAUGGAAGAGCCUGUCUCAGCAUAAAUAAAAUUGAUCUGUAAGAAAAGAAAAUUAGGAACGGAACAAAAAAUUCUAUAGUACAAAAUUGUGACUCUUCAAAGAAAAUUGUUGCUGGUGAAUUCAUGACAUAAUUGAGUUGCAGGCUCGGCAUGCAUAUUUCUAAAGCAUUUCUUCCAUGGAGAUCACAAUCUAAAAGAAAGGGAUAAUCACACAAAAUAGGAAAGAGGAAAUAGGGACAAUCAUCAAUAUUCCACUAUUUCAGAACUUCGCAAGGCCGAUCUGUUGACCUGAUCCGCAAUCCUUGAAACAAGAAUGAUGUUUAUACUUCAUACAAAGGAUGUAUUGCCAAUCAAGGAUUUAAGUACCCAUCAGCACGGGCCGUAUCUACCGUACCACAUCAUGCCAAUAAGAUACCGGCACGAUACAACCCCCCUUACCGAUGGCACAGUUCAAAACCCUUUUUACUUUAAAUUAGUAAGUAAUUUUUUCAAUAAAGUUCAAAAAAAAUGAUAAAGAUACAUAAUAAGCAACUAGAAAAUUUUGUUAAUAAAGAAAAUAAAUUUUUCAUAUCAUUAUGUGUUAGCACAUGUGUUUUUUAUGACUGGCACGUAUCGAUACGGCCCGGCACGCACCAUGCUGUACCGUGCCAGCAAGUUUACGGCACGAUCACGUACCACGACACUUAAAUCCUUGUUGCCGGUCUAACUUAAUCAGGAAAUAAAACACUUUCAACUUAGCAGGCGUUUGGAUAGACAUAAAACAAAACCGAAAAAAAUCUGCCGCGAAGCAGUAAACUAAAUAUUUUAGGUAUUUGCUACAAAAGACAACUUUGAAGUUCGAACAUUUCUAAGGUGAAGAUGUUAUCUAGGAAUUUCGCUCAUGGCUAAGCAAACAGAUCUCCUCAACAUCGUCAUGGUCGACAGCAGAACUAAUGCUUUAAUUCUUAGGGGGCCAUCUAGUUUAAUGUAGCUGUAAAUACAGUGUAAUUGAAGAUGCAUGCAACUGGAGACGCAGCAACGGUACAUUUACAUCUAGUCUAUUUAGCAGUACAAAAUUGAGAACGAUUCAACUACAUUUUUAUUUCUUUUUUCCGUUUCUUUGGUUGCUUGUAGCUAAAACCUACAUUUGAUUACUCUCUCCGUCUCCUGCGUUUCCAACUACGCCCGAUUCGGGAUAUGUAACAAAAUUUUUGGGUUUCUCCGUAGUUGCAUUUGCAAUGCACUUUAAAAUACAAACAACAAUUACUUCGAUCCAAACACCCCCUUAUGCUCGCCACAACAACAACAACAACAACAACAACAACAACAACAAGAAAAAGGGGCAGUAUCGAUCUACAACUACACCGAGAUUCAUUUAUUUAUCAUGAUCAAACUAGAGAUUUAAUCGAAGGGGGAGGAGGGGGGGACCUGCUUGAGGACGAAGGAGCCGGCGGGGCCGAGGACGAUGUAGACGAAGUUGAGGUUGCCGUCGCCGACUUCCCUGAUUUCCACCCCGUCCAGCUGCCCGCCCCCCAGCCGCGCCGUCAGUGCCGGCGCCGACUUUAUGUACUCCACCACCGACUUCUCGUCCAGCGCGCGAAACCCGUCGCCGGAUUCCAUGCCUGCCGCAGAAUCUGCCGAGUUGGAAGUGGGGGGAAGGGUUUUAUUAGAGGAAGAAGAAGAAAAGGACGGAGGAGAUGGAGCGUUUGAUUGAUGACAAAAGAGGGUUCAUUGAAUUUGGCCCCUUUUUUUUUUUUUUUUUUCCUAAGAUGCCUCUUUGGUCGCUUUGAAUUUCGAGUACUGUAUGAAAAAUGCUGUUUGUGGGGAUAUUUUUUCAACACCACCUUAUAAAUUUUCUAAUUGGGUAAAUAAUUUUAUAAAUUUUUUCUUAAAUAUGAUAAAUGAUUCGCCCGAUUUUUAACAAUUCAUUGUCUUUCUAAUUUUUUUUUCACGAAUGGUGAAGUAGUCACUAUUUUUUGCUUAUUUACUGUUUCUUUCUAUAUCUCAUAUAUAAUCCUAAUAAUUAAGUUUUAAAGUGUCGUGACACGUGAAUAUGCCGUUAUAUCCCUAGUACGGUACUGCACAAGCACGCUGACGUGCCGAUAGAUACAUAUGACCUUCUAUUGGUAUGCUUUGGCACAGACUUUUUUAAGUUUUUUUGCUUCCAAUAAACUCUUAUGAUAUUAUUUUGAAAACUGUUAUUUUGAAAAUUUUAAAUAAAUAAUUAUGAAUAUUUACUAUAUAUAUUUUACUAUACUCAUCAAUUAACAUGCAUAUAAACUUUUUAUAAGUAAAGUACAACUAUAUCUGAUGUAAAAUAAAAAUUAAAAUAUAAUAAUAAAAUUUACAAGUACAAUAAUUAUUUAAAUUAAUAUCUCUAUAUAGAGAUGAUCGUCACGCUUAAUCAUAUGACAUAUUGUCAUCUGCAAAUAUAAAAUUUAUUUGAUAAUAUUAAUAUAAGUAUUGCUGGUAUUGUGAGAAAGUCAUAUAUUCUCGAUAUUAUAUUCAUAUUUUUGUUCUUUUAUUCUUUUUAAAAAUAUCUAAUCAAAAUUUGUUUAGAAGGUCAAUUUUUUUUCCCGUGAUUCACCUAAAGUUUCGCGGUGCAAUAAAUUUUGAAAAAAUAUUUUGCGAAAAAAAAGUGGAUGUCAGUGGUGGGCUGCGGGCUAGGGCCGAUGCAGUAUGGAUCGGAUAUGUUGAUACCCUAGAGAACAAAAGAAAAAAUAAAAAGCCAAAAAGAAAGCCAAAAAGGAAAAAAAAAAAAAAAGAAAAGAAAAAGGGCUGCACACGCACGGUACUUGCCGCCGACACGCACCUGCAUGCCGCUUUGUCUCCAACGACACACAUGUACGUGCCGCGAGACAGAGGGGAGGUUUCAAGACCCCCCUGUACUGUGCCCUCUUCUUGAGGGCACGGUAUGGCACGCCUCCGUACCGUACGGCACAGGCGGCACUUAAUUCCUUGCUAACAACUACAUAAAAAUUUUAACAAAUUAUAUAUAAUCUUAAUAACCUAAAAAUCCUAAUAAUCUAUUUAUAUAAUUCUAACAAUCAAAUAAAAAUUCUAAUAACCUACGUAUAAUCCUAGCAACCUCAUUUUUUUCUUAUAUAAUUUACGUACAAUUCUAAAGAUGAUGUAUCGUUAACCGUUUUAAUGAAUGCGGUUAACGAUUUCCAGUGUUUAAAAGGGCUAGGUGGCGAAGAGAGAAUUAGUUUGCCAAAUAUAAAUUUAGUAGGAUAGUUUCGUAAAUUAUAAAAUUUUAAAGAAUUAUUUUGUAAAAAAUUCCGUUUGCAACAGUAGGUCGGUCUGAUGGUUAGAAUGGAUGGGACUAACCUCGGAUUUUUUUUUUCAUAAUGAUACAUUAAUAAUUAAUAAUUAAUAAUAAGAAUUAGGCUGAAAUAUUAUUAAUAGCACCAAUGACUUGGUGCUAUUAAGUUUUCUGCCUUUGAAUUAAAAGAUGUGCGGUUAGGAUAAUGUGCGCUCUCUAGGGUUGAGUGGGUGGUUAGUUGAAUAGUAUAAUUGAAUGGAUGAAAAUGAUAAAAGAUGUAAAUCUAACGACAGAAAACUUGAUAACCAAAUGCUUUCUAGACUGGUCACUAUUUCAUUCCCAAGACAAAAAGUUGAGAGUUAAAUCAUCUUCUUUUCUUUUCUUUCUUUUUUUUUCUAAGAAACGAACGUACACUAGUUGGUUCUAGCCCGCCCUUGUUCGGCUUCUUGGCAGCCCUACUCUUAAUAGGAUUCAAAAAGAAAUUCUUGUUAUUAUUAUUAAGAGUCUCGCUGGGAUACUAUCGAUAGCACGAAGUAUUUGGUGCUAUCAAGUUUUCUGCUGUUAGAUUUACCUUUUUUAUCAUUUUCAUCCGUUCGAUUAUACUAUUCAACCAACCACCCACUCAACCCUAGAGGACCAUAAAAGUGAUUAAAAUUAUAUAUAUUGUCCGGGUUAUUCUAGUCAAUUAAGUCAAAAAUUUAUUCAAUUUAAUAACUCUAUUUGCAAUUAGCGGUUAAUUAUUCUAGUUUCCUUUUCCAUAAAAGUGAUUAAAAUUAUUAAAUUUGAUGGAACCAUCCACAAAAUUAGUAAAAUCUCUAACUUAUUUGGCUAAAAUCAUCCAAUUCUAUGAGAUAAAAAAAGUCAACAAGUGUCAAACAAACAAACAAACAAAAACAAAGAAACUUCGGGGAGCUAUAUGAGAAUAGUCCAUAGUUGAGGUAUCUCCCUACGUUUUUACCUUGGUUUCACUAUUAUCUGUUCAUAAGAUCUCUAAUUUAAAUAAAAAAAAUUGAUGAUUUUUUACUGCUUAAAAGUUUUUGGCUAACAACUUACAUUUCUACCUAUUCUUAGCUCUAGUUGGAACUAUUUUACAGUGUCAGAGAUCUUGUCCUAGUUUUAGUUUGAAACCAUAGAUUCCUUGUGUCCCAAAAGUCAACCUUUUGAUCAUAGUUACCACCUACUAAAUUGAUUUUUUGAAUACAUAAAUAAAAUAUGUACCUCUUUUAUACGGCAAAUUGAUAAUAGGAUAGCUAUGCAGUCGCAAAAGAUUUUUUGUUGUUUUGAGGAUUGUAUAUGGAUUAUCUUAAAACUCUAUUACUGACCAGAAGCAAAUUUUUAAAUCAUAAAUAGGACCAUUGUAGCACAAAAGUUGUAAGUAAAUAACUUACUCAGAUACCUAAUUAGAUUUUUUACCAACAAAUCUUAUCAAUGCUUCUUUUGUUUACUCAAAUGCCUCGGCAACGAGAAAUUCUAUUAUAUAACAGUCACACCACAUCAUCUAUAACCAAUCAAUCACAUCAGCAAUAUAACUUAUGCAUUCUAGAUUUUAUCCUUGGCAACACUGAUUGUAUCUAGCACAAUUGGCUAAGAGCUUGAUGAUUAAUAUGCGAGAUUCCAAAUUUAAAAUCUAAAUUGCUUCGUAUUCUAAGUUUAUUUUCUUAAAAAAAAAAAAAAGAAAGAUCAAUCUGAUAUAGUCUAGUUAGUAAAUUUAGACAUAGAAACAAGUUAUGAUAAGAUUAAAUUACGUGACCAUUUAUUUAUUUAUUUUUAGUUCCAUUGAGUGCAUUUUUUACAUUCAGAUAGUGGUCCUAUUCACCUAUAUUAAAUGGAUUAGUACAAAAAGGGAAAUGGUAAAAGGAACAAAAAAAAAAAAAAAAAAAAAAAAAAAAAAAAAAAGAAGAAGGUAAACUUCAAAUACCCUCAUGGUUCACAAUUUUUACUUUAAUACUUUGGGUUUAAAGUGUAUCAAGUUAGUCUCUGUAGUUUCGCACAUUCUCACUUUACGAUAUCCUGUGAUUUAAAGUGUAUCAAGUUAAUACCUUGUGGUUUCAUUUUUCUCUUUUUAUUAUCCAUUUCACUAAUUUUUUAUUAAAUCAGUGACAAAGUUAAAAUUAAAGGAUACUAACGUAAAUAUUCGACAAAACUAGUAGGUAUCUGAAGUUUUUUGUAUAUAAUUUAACAAUAUUAACGGAGAAAAAAAAUCAUUAACAAAGUUAAAACAAAGGUACUAAAGUAAAUAUUUGAUAAACCUAGGUAGGGGUAUUUGAAGUUUUUGUAUAUAAUUUAAUGAAUUAUUAUAGCGGAGCCGGCAAAAGAGAAAAAUGAAACCACAGGUACUAAAUGAUGCAUUAUAAACCACAGGGUGCUAAAGUGAGAAAGUGUGAAACACAGGAUAUUAAAUUGAUACACUUUAAACCACGGGGUACUAAAGUGAAAAAGCGCAAAACAUAUGGGUGAUAUUUGAAGUUUUUUCAAAAAAAUAACGAAACUACCCUCUUUCAAAAUGCAUAAAAAUACAUGUAUUAAAUAUUUUUAAAAAAUAUAACUGACAAAUAUUAUUAUAGCCACUCUUCCCUGAAAAAUAAAAUUCUUAUCUAAUAUAUAAAUAAAAAUUUAAAAUAAUAAUAAUAAAAGUAAUACUCCUUAAGUACAACAUUCUCUCUCAAAUAGUGCAAUAUUGUGUACACAUAUUGCAUGAUUUUACACUAAAUUAUGAAUAAUAUAGUAUAUUACGAAAAAUAGUAUAAUAUAUUAUAAUAUAUAAUAAAAUUAUGCAAUAUGUGUAUAAAAGUAUAUAUAUUGUAUUGAGAGAAUAUUACACUCUUUCAUCUUAUUAUUAUUUUUUUUGUCUUAAAUGAGAAUUCUCGUUUCUCGAAAAGACACACAUAUAUAUAUGAUAAAGUACAGCUAUUAGUGAUUAUCUAGAAGAAAGAUAUAUUAUUGAUACAUAAAAAUCUAGAUAGAAAAUAUUUUGAUUAUAGAAUUCUCCAUUUUUGUCUUAGAAAAAUAUCGAUAUUGAGACUUGGACCAAUACACAUAUCGGUACAAAAAUUAAUAAAAAAUACUAAACUGAAAAAAAAAAAAAAAAAAAACAAUUUGAAAAAAAAAAAAAAGAUAUUUUUUCUCUAACCUUUCAUCAAGAAAUCAGCCCAUCCAAUCAAAAAAGUAUUUCUUUGAUUUCACCCGUUUCGGCCUGUGCUUUAUAAAUUGCUUCGGCGCAAAAUAAAAAGCAGCUGUCAUUUCUAAAAAAUUUAACACUUUAUUUAAUAUAUAAUAUAAUUUAAUUUUUGGAAAGAAAAGUGCAUAUAAAAUUUAAACGGUAUAACAUUCUUUCAUAAUAGUACAAUGUUUACACAAAUAAUAUACAUAUUUAUACAAAUAGUGUAACAUAGGUACUGUUUAUACACAUAUUGCAUAAUUUUUAUAAUAUAUUACAAUAUAUUAUACUAUUUGCCAGUAAUAUACUUUAUUAUCCGUGAUUUAGUAUAAAAAUCAUACAAUAUGUGUAUAAAUGAUGCAUAUGUUGUAGUAUUUGUAUAAAUAUUGUACUAAUUGCAAAAAAAUGUUGUAUUAUUUGAGAGAAUAUUGCAGUAUAUAAGAAGUAUUAUAUUCUUUCUUUUCAUAUUAUUAAAAUUUUUAUUUAUAUGUUAGUUGAGAAUUUCGUUUUUCAAAAGAAAGAUAACAAUAAUAAUGAUUUGUCAGUUCUAUUUUUUAAAAUAUUUAAUGUAUGUACUUUUUAUGCAUUUUAAAAAAAAGAUAAUUUGAUCAUCUUCUUAAAAAAUUAGACCGAAAUUGCAAAAUCAAAAAAGAUGGUUCAGUUUUGUAAAAGCUCAAAACUUAGAGAAUUUUUUAUGCAAAUUGGCCAAGCCAAUUUAGAAAAAAUAAAGAAUUUUCAAGUUUCGCGUACAAACUAAAGAAAUGGUCAAAAUGAUAGUGACAUUAAAAAAAAAAAAAAAAAAAAGAAAGAAAGGGUGGCCAUGGUCAGAUCAGAACGGUUUCAAUUCAACCCGAUUUGGAUUCUUAACCCAAAUCCAACCCGAUAAAUAAUAAUAAUUAUUAAAACAAAAGAAAAUUUGUUAAGAAAUAAUAAAGAAAAUCAUUAAAUUCUUAAUAAAUUUCUUAAUAAUUAAUAUAUUAAGACAUUUAUUAAGAAAGAAUAAUAAAAUUUAUUAACAAAAGCAACUAGAAAUACAAUGUGCAACAAAGAAAAGAAGCACAAAAAGUACAAAAGUAUGCAACCAAUCAUGUAAUGCAUCUAAUAAAUAAUUAUAAUAAGUACAAUUAGGCUUUAAAAAAAACUCAAAUAAUUUCUUAGGUGAAUAAUAAGAAAAACAAUAAAAAUAAUAGUAAAGUUAGAAUACUUCAAAAUAAAUAAAAUCGCUUACUUAUACAUUAUUUCUUAUGAUGGGGCAUCUAACUUGAUGUUCAGUGCAGCUAAACUAUAUUUAGACUAUUUGAACUUCACAAGAAUUAAAUUUUGUAAUUUUUGUCAUCAUUUAUCUAGCGAUCAAAUAAUCUCGAAUUCACCACCACCAGCAUUGUCACUUUGUGACACUCCAAUUGUUAGUCAUUGAUAUCGAAAAUUUGUAAAAUUUGAAGCUUAGAAUGUUCAAAUAGCUUAUAUCAUGUUUAAGGGGCCGAUCGUCAAUUCAUACAACCCAUCACCGAAAAUAAUGCGAAGUAAAUAGUCUCAUACACUUCUUGAAGCACCCAAGCUUUACCCCGAAAAUAGAAAGUAAAAUAAAGCGAGUCCCUGAUGGAAAUGAAGAGAAAAAAAGGUUUGGAGAGCUUGGCUUGAUGUGUGUAUUCCAUCAAUCUUCUUCUUUUAUAAUCAUAACAAGGUUAGCAAUUCAAUAACAUUUGCGAGGCAAAUUUGAUAUAACUGAUCUUGCGCAACCACAAUAAUUCGAGAAAUAUCUGUUAUGCACUGAACUUCAGCAACUUGUGGAGUUCUAGUAAAAGGAAUGAUAUUCUAUACUAUUCUGAGAGUCUUGCUUGGGUUUGGAGAGCUUGGGGACUUUUUCAGAACCUAAUUAGCGCGAAAAUAGACCUCGGAGGCCGAAAUCUACAAAAGCUUCCCUUUUGGCUAUCGCUCACCCGUACCAAGUUCGAGUACCCGAACCUUGUUGUGCAAGGGUUGGCUCAGCUCUCGGAUUUUGCAGAACUCGGCUAAGUACCGGUACUGAACCAAGUUGUACCAGUAUUGAUUCGAGCGGGUACCGAAACACAAUAGAAACCAAAAAUUUCAAUGUUCGAGUUUUGCGGACCUGAACUCCUAGGUACCGAAACUGCCUAAAUACUGGUACUCCAGUUCGCUUACCAGUACUCAAUGGUGUAGAAAUUAUUUCGCACAGCUUGUAAUUUCUAGCUUUUGGAGGGGCUUCUAGGGAUAUUGUUACAUCAAGUAGAAGUACCCUUUCACCCCUCUCUUUUGCCAUUGUGGCUAAAGCUAGAGAGAGGAGGAGAGGUGACCCUCUUUGUACCUUGGAUCCUUCCCUCUAAUCCAUCUAACCAUGGAUUCAUCUUCGUCUCUUCAUUUCCUCCAUGGGUGCAAGUAUCUAGGCCUUAGAGGGGAGCUCGGGAUUGAAGGAAGGAACUUUUUUGAGGCUUGGACUUCAACCCUAACAUCUCAUAACUUGGUUGUGAGCUUGAUUUGAGGUUAGUAGCAUUGUUGCAUCUUCUAUUUGUGAGUUUAGAAAGAAGUUUUAGUAGGAAACCUAGUUUUGUGGAAACUAUGAUUUAUUUUUUGGAUUCUCCUAUUAGAAGCUUUUGGGAUAAAAUUGAUGAAUGUAGAACACUCUUGUAGGUUAGAUUUGAAACUCCAAUGCUUUAAUUUAGACUUUGAGCAAGUUUUACUUGAUCUAAGAUAAUUUUCACCUAUUUUCAUUUUGAUUUUGGUGAAUUUCAUGGUGAGCAUUUUAGAAACUUGUAACUCUUUGAAAUUUUUUUUUAGGGUGCAAGAAGUCUAAAGGGCAACUUCAUUUGUAAAACGAUCGAGUUUUCGACGAUUAUCCAGUAGAUUUGACCUUAUCGAAAUUGGUGAACUCUUUCUAUAUCUCCUAUCAUAUUAUAGAAUUCAAUAGAUGGUUUAAUAUGUUAUGCAUGACAACAUAAAAUUUUUGAGUAUACGGCAUAAUCAUUCUGUAUAUGAAAACUAGCAUUCUCUGUAUAGUAGAGGAUUAUGUAAUACGAACAUGCAUGUCAAGACAUGUGAAUUUGUAUUGGAUAUGAUAAUCUUCUUUUGCUCAAGUAUUUAUGCAUGCGAUAGUUGAGUUGUAUUAUAUAAAACACUGCAUGAUUAGUGGAACUAUUGGGCUAGAACUUCCAUGAAAAUUCUUUAUACUUGCUAUAGCUAAGAGGAAACAUUACCCAUUGCAUGUAAAUGACGGGUUGUAGAGUUAAGUAUUUUAUACUUAAACCAAGAUGAACAACUAGAUAUGACAUUAUGACAAUGUACUCGACUUAUAUGUCGUCAAUUGAUAUUUCAUAUUUUAGACAUGACAGAUGAGGUUUCAUACACAUUGCCUUUGUACUUAUUUGCACAAGCUUGUGAGGGUCGCUCCCUAUAAGCCAGCACUCCGGAGUUUAGCCUUUGCGACAUCAUACUCAUCCAUGCGGAAUUGGGCGCCAAAGUGGGAUGCCGUGGGCUAGGCUCAUUCUUAGAGAGGAAAUGUUGACUACCAUGGGACUAUUACGCAUGGCACAAAUCAGAACGUUAUCUUGUGUAAGUCCCCAUGAUUGGGAGAAAGUUAAUUGAACUUGACAAUUGUACAUCACAACUAAUUGAUACAUGCAUGUUAGUUAUACUUGUAAUUGAAUCUUUUACACUUGUAAGUAUGAUGAUAGUAAAACUAUAUAUAUGCUGAAUCGGCAUAGUCGUUUGGAGGUACUGUAGUAUUUAAACCUUUUUAUUCCAAUUACUAUAUCCAUACUUUAAAUUUUAGCUAUAAUCUAUCUUUAUCUCAGUUGACCUAGUGGUAUAAUUCGUUUUUCUUGGCGACUUACCAAUUGAAAACUAUUCUUUGAUAGUUCUCACCCCUUUUUUUUUUAUUUUAUUACAGAGUCUUUCAUAGCGAGAGAGGUUAGGAUCGCGACAAGAGUGCAGCAAUUAGCUAGAGCCUCUUGGUGUUGCUAUAGCUGGACCAUGACGCCUUUCUUUUAAUUUAUGUAGUGAAUGGUAUACAUUUGUAUAGGGAUCCCUUUGAAUUCAUGAGAUGUACCCUUUUGUAUUUAACUCAGGGAAAACUUCAAACCGCCCCCUAUGGUUUCGUCGUUUCUCAUUUUGCUCCCCUAUGGUUUAAAAUGUAUCAAUUUAUUCCCCUGUGGUUUCUUUUUUCUCUUUUUCUUAUCAAUUUUAUUAUUUUUUUUCUUAAAUCAAUGAUAAAGUUAAAAUUAAAGAGUACUAAAGUAAAUAUUUGAUAAAUCUAAAUGAGUAUCUGAAAUUUUUUGUAUAUAAUUUAAUAAAAUAUUAACAAAAAAGCUAUCGAAAAGAUAAAAACGAAACCACAGAGGGACAAAUUGAUACAUUUUAAACCACAAGGAGGCAAAGUGAGAAAUUACGAAACCACAGGGAACGUUUUUGAAGUUUUCCCUUUAACUUAUAAAUCAUCUUGUGAUGUAUUAUUUGAUAGUAGUAGUCAGUUUAAUUCUUAUUGUUAAGCUAUUAUGUCCUUGUGUAGGAUGUGUACUUUUUUCCUUUUCAUAUUAUUGUUGGACAGCCGUGUAUAUCGGGGGCUGCUUUGUGUACGCGACGAGUCUGUGCACAUACCAAAUAGACUUCCGCUGAAUUCGGGCGUGACAAUAUCAUUACACCACGCAUUAUUUUUAAGCACAUAGAAGUGGAAAGAUAAAAGUUUUCAAACAGAAACUCACAAUUUACUGCGAUAACACAAAAUCCUAAAAAUGUAAGCUAUUAUGGUUGAAUCUCCUGAAUCACCGAAAUGACUUGACCGAUGGUUUCGAAUUGGCGCCUUUCCUUCAGAAGCCUUCUACCACAGUUGAGAGCGUUACGCUCGCAAGAUGCUCGCUUGCUUGCAUCGGCGAUCGAUUCGAAAUCCUCAACAUGGGCUAUCCCCACUAUUCUCCUGCAUUCAAAACCAGUGUUCACUUCAAAUGUAAAAUUUCAAGUGCUGUAACAGAUAUUUUUGUUAAGGGGUGCGACGUCACGUGGAUUUUGUAAUGAAAAUUUCUUUUUAAAUUCAACAAGUUUGGUAGUCAGAUAAAUGAUAUUUAUGUAGUCUGAGAUGUUUAUAUAAUGAGAUUUAUAAACACAAGUCAAUAUGAAAGAUUAUGAGUGCAUAUUAAAUGCUUGUCUUAUUUGAUAGGCAAAAAAUACUCAGAAGGUGUCAAGUGAAGCAGUUUAUUUUGGAAAAGAGAGGUAAGUCGAAAACAAGUUAAGAAAACCAGAAUAUCUGAACAUAGCAUGAUCCUGAGAAAUGUAUCAUACCUUUUGUACAAAGCGGUAUACUAAGUAUCUAACUAAUGAUCAAAGACACUUUACUCCUUUUCUCAUGGUGUAGCCCGAAAAUAUAUUAAAGAAAAAGGAAAACUCAAAAAGCCUUUAGAGCGGCGAAUGGCUCGUUUCUCAAUCACUCGCCUACUUGCCAGCUCUUGUUAGCAAAUAAUUAUGCACUCCAAUGGAUAAACAAUUAACGACUAAGAUGUUAUUUUGAUGCAUAUAGAAUAUGUUUCAUCUACGACGAAUAUUUACGAGAUUACGGAUGUGUAGCUUUUUAUUGGCUCUCAUGUUAUGCAGAAACUAUAUCAAACUCCUCUAUAAAGCAUAGAUAGUUGAAAAUACUUUGACCUUUCUGUCGGGAAGAUAGAUAAAUUUGGAAAAUUUAAGGAAGAAUCCACCUAACAAAACAAAUGAGAAGUAAACUUUUUUUCUAAGCUUGAGCUUGGUAAUUUCAGUACCGCACAAUAUGACGAAGAUCAGAAUCUGGAGAAUUACCUUAUCAUUUUUGCAGCACCGAAUCCAAGAGCAUCAUGAAAUAAAUCUUUCAUGUACUUUUGCUGGAGAGAAAUCUGAAGUUCUGGCUUGUUGUAUAUUGAAAUUGGAUAUGCUUCACCCUUCCCAUCUUUGUGUUCGUCCCAACGAGAAAUGAACUUCUUCUGGAAGAGAUCCCAAGUUUCUGCAAUCGUCCUUAAGAUCCGUUGCUUGUAUGCCUACAAAAAUUGAUAGAUAAAAAUUUAACCAAGAGAACAACCAGUCCCAGAUAUUACAAUACUAGAAUGAUUUUUGAAUCAGCUGCUGGAGCUUGAAACCAGCUUUGCUGGUUAAUGAGGCCGGCCGUGUUUGAAAAGUUGCGCCUUAGGCGCGCACUUCCGCGCCUAGGCGCGAGACGCAAGUCUCAGCGCCUCAGGGAGUGAGGCGCGCGCCUCAGACGCGUCUCAUGAUAUUUACGCUCAACGUAUCUAGGGUUUGGGCUUUCGGGUUUUCAUAUUCUAAAAUGUUAAGAAAUUUUUUAGAAAAAUUCCUAAUUGAACACUUUCUUUCUCUUUUAUCUUGGUCGUGCUCUCUUUCAACCCCCCAAUGGCAAUAAGUAGCAGCGGUGAAAAGAAAGAAGCAGCAGUAAAUACUUUUAAGCUUAAAGUUGAAACAUUUUUUUUUUAAUUUUUAGGCUGAGAACAUUAUGCAUGCGAUUUCUUUACUUUUUUAUAGUUAUUUUAUUUUUGUAUAGCUAUUUUAGAAUUUUUUAACAUAAAAUGUCCAUUUAAAGCAGGCUUGUUAAGAGUGUUUUAUUUUUAUUAGAUAUGCGUCUCACCUUCUAGAGGCGCGCGUCUCGCGGUGCGCCUCGCGCCUAGGCUCCACAAGGCCUUUGGGCCUUUUUGCGCGUUGCGCCUUUUCAAACACUGGAGGCUGGUUAAUAGUACAAUGUGAGGUAGCUAUUCAAUAGUAGUUAAAGGGCCUUUUGGGAAUAUCAGUGCAAGAAUUUCAUAUCACAAAUCAAACAUGCCCAAACAAAAGGUUACAUUGUUACACAACAUCAGAGGGUUUCUGAUAAUUAGAUUCCAUACAUUCACGGAUUUAACAGCCCAUCGGCAAAGGCCGUGCCCAUUGUGCCAUACCGUGCUAGCAUGACUCAAACUCUCUUUUCUUUGAAAUUAGCAAGUAAUUACCACAAUAAAGUGCAAAAGAUUUGAUUAUGUUAUGUAAGAAGAGAUUGGAAUAUAUUGAUGCCCAAAAAAAAAAUUAUUUUACUCCAUAUGACAACUUAUAGACAGACAUGCGUACAUAAAUUUAGAUGUUAACAGAUAUACAGAUUUAUAUAUAUAUGCUAGACCUUUCUUGAUCACAUGCACGGCAGCGCGAAACACAUGAGAUAUUUGCACAUAAGGUAGGGUAAUUAUUGUUGAUCUUGAAACAAAAAAAAAAAGGAAAGGAAAGGCUCACGGCCUCUCUUCAUGAGAUUGUCACACUUGUAGAUCCAAGAACUUCUAUCUCUUUACAGAUGAGAUUGACAGAGGUAUAAGAUCUAGCACCUGGUGAGACCAAUGCUAUCCCCACCUUCACAUAUAAAAGAUGAAGCAAAAGGGUAUACUAAAUAAGCGACGCAAUCCAACAAGAAUGACCACCUACAGAGACCAUCCAGCGCCUAGAUCAUAGCAGUCGCAUGUAUUAACACUUGCUGAUCUUCAUUACUAGUUUUUCUAAACAGAUAAGCGGCGGCAGGUCAUAGAUUUAAGAGUCAAAUGCGUAUCAUUGGAAUAAGAAAUCUGAGUCUUCUAUCAAGAGUUGUAGGGCUAUUCAUUUCAAAUCUUUUUGUCCUUUCAAUUCAACAUGAGAACCAACUCCUGAAACUUUGGCUAAAUUUUAUCUAAUGAAGUAAUCAGUGAGUUUUAAUGAUGGGCCAAGAUUAAAAGAAGCGUACUCCAGACUCUCUUUUUUUUCAUAUUCAUUGUUAUUUUUUUCCCAUACAAAUUAGCAGCAACACAAGUUAAAUCAUCCAAGCAGUAUUUAUCACAUUAAUCACAUCAGCCAAGCAAGAAAAAGAUACGUAACAACUUAAAACAACAAAGACUAAUCAAUUUGCUCAAAAAUAAAGCAGUUCAUUUGGUACAGUGGUUAUAAAUGGUUUAUCAAUCUUGGCUAUAGUGGAGGUAUCUGAAACAGUGUGGGCAAGUCUCUAGUAGUAAUCAAAACUUUUAAAACCUAUAAUUAACAACUUUGACUAACAACAUUUAAACAAGACAAGUACAUAACAGCAAUUAGAUGUUUUCUGAAUAAAUUAAAGAAUUGAGAUGUACCUUACGAUCAUUUCCUUCAUUAGCAUGUCCAUCUUGUGAAAAGUAGGCCAAAAUCAAGUUCCCUAAAAAAGCUCCUAUAUCGUACCCCAUUGGACCAUAGAAAGCAAAUUCCGGAUCAAUAACCUGAGUUGAAUCACUAGUCACCAUGAUAGAACCAGUAUGCAGAUCUCCAUGAAUUAAAGCUUGAGCUCUCUCACAAAACCUACAUUCAAAGAAAAUCUGGCAAGACUCUAGAAAGAGAGCUCAAUGUCAAAUAUUUGGAGAAAACAGCAAACAUACCCCUGCAAAACAAUGUAUCCCUACAGAACUCAGUUUUUAUUUUAUAAUACCCUCUAUAAUUCUUAUGCAUAUAAGCCUUUGUAGUUAGAAAUGUUGUGCUUCUCUAAUACAAAACCAACCUUACCCAUUACUUCAGAUUUUAUAGGGGUAUACAUGUAAACAGAUGAUUUUGUAAGAAUAUAAAGUUAGAAAGUUCAGUUUAAUAUUGCUUUAUACAUUGAUUUCAGCUCGGCUACUUCAAUCUUUAGAGCAUCAUCUUGCCGAACAGCUUCAGCGUCACGAUCAAGGUAAGGAGAAGUCCAACGAUUAAAGUGUGAAACCCUAUAUGGAUCUGAGAAAACUACUUGUUCCGUGAGCCUACAUAUCUCUAGAUUCCCGCAAAAUUCACCUACUGCAAUUUGAAUUAAAGGAUGUGUCAAAAAGAUUUAUCUUAAUUAUGAAAUUAUGCUACAGAAUAUGUCAUGUAUGUCAAUUAACUGGCAACAAAUUUUUGUGAACUGGUGAAUGUCAAAUUUACCUGCACGUCUAUGCUCUGCUGUAGAAUGAUAUAAAAGGGAAGUGAAGAAAAGCGUCUUUGCCAUAUAUUCCGACAUAUGCUCUGCAAGCAAUGGAUAUUCAAUUCCAGCAAUCAAUCCUUUUCGGAGAAUUAUAUGGGGAGGUUCCAAGUAGCGCAUUCCAAUCACUGACAUAGACCUGUCAAAAUGAUAAACCUCAGGGACGUGAUCCGGGCACAGCCGGCCGUGCUCUUUUAAUGCCAGUGCUUCGAAAUACGCACGCUCCUUUGUCAUCGGCCAUGACUCACCCACUAAGCGGAUAUAUGGAAGAGCCUGUCUCAACAUAAGUAAAAUUGAUCCACAAGAACAGAAAAUUAGGAGCGGAACAAAAAAUUCUUUAGUACAAAAGUUUGACUCUUCAAAGAAAGUUGUUGUUGGUGAAUUCAUGACAUAAUUGAGUUGCGAGCUCGGCAUGCAUAUUUGGAAUGCAUUUCUUCCAUGGAGAUCACAAUCUAAAAGAAAGGGAUAAUCACAAAAAAUAGGAAAAGAGGAAAUAGGGACAAUCAUCAAUAUUCCACUAUUUCAGAACUUCGCAAGGCCAAUCUGUUGACCACUCGACCUGUAUCCUUUAUAUAAAGGAUGUACCGCCGGUCUAACUUAAUCAGGAAAUAAAACACUUUCAGCUUAGCGGGCGUUUGAUUAGACAUAAAACAAAACCGACAAAAUCCGCCGCGAAGCAGUAAACUAAAUAUUUUAUCUAGGAAUUUGCUUACAAGAGACAACUUUGAAGUUUGAACCUUUCUAAGGUGAAGAUGUUAUCUAGGAAUUUCGCCCAUGGCUAAGCAGCAGAUCUCCUCAACAUAGUCAUGGUCGACAGCAGAACUAAUGCUUUAAUUCUUAGGGGGUCAUCUAGUUUAAUAUAGUUGUGAAUACAGUGUAAUUGAAGAUGCAUGCAACUGGAGACGCAACAAUUGAGAAUUAUUCAACUACAAUUUUUUUUUUUUUCAUUUGUUUGGUUGCUUGUAGCAAAAAGCUACAUUUUUCAGAGCUUGUUAUUUUUAUGCAUGGGAUGGUGAGAUUACCCCUGGUUAUGAAUUACUCUCUCCGACUCCUGCGUUUCCAACUACGUCCGAUUUUGGGUGUAGGUCCAAUUUGCAAUAUGUAACAAAGUUUUUGGGUUUCUCCGUAGUUGCACUUGCAAUGCAGUUUAAAAUACAAACAACAACAGGUAACACCCCUACCAAUUUUGAUUUCGGUUGAAUUACAAUUACGUCGAUCCAAACGCCCCCUUAUGCUCGCCGCAACAACAACAACAAAAAGGGGCCGUAUCGAUCUAACAACUGCACCAAUAUUUGUUUAUGUUGGAAGCGUGAUUUUUUCUGAUACCAAUUGUUGGAACAAGUAUUUGUGCUGAUAUUGAUUAUGUAAUACAGAAUCUAAAAUAGAAUAAAAUAAUAUGAAGAAGAGAUAUUGUGGGAGAAAGAAGAAAACUAAACUAAUACUUAAAAGCAUUUAAUUACAUCCUGGGCGACACGCUCGGCCUUAUCCAGUCAUAUCUACUAUGGCUUGUUCAUCCAAUUAACACAUGUCUAACUAUAUAUAGCUAUCGGGUCAUAACAAAUGAUAAAUCCAACACUUACUUUGGAUAAUUACAAAUAUCCUACUAUAAUUACAUAAAUAAAUGACUUAAAACUUAUCUCUGACAAUAUAUUGUAAUUAAGUUUGGAUUAUUAUUCCAACAGUUUAUUUAUCAUCAUUUAUCAUGAUCAAACUAGAGAUUUAAUCACAACCGUUUGAUCUGAAAAGGGGGGACCUGCUUGAGGACGAAGGAGCCGGCGGGGCCGAGGACGAUGUAGACGAAGUUGAGGUUGCCGUCGCCGACUUCCCUGAUUUCCACCCCCUCCAACUGCCCGCCCCCCAGCCGCGCCGUCAGUGCCGGCGCCGACUUUAUGUACUCCACCACCGACUUCUCGUCCAGCGCGCGAAACCCGUCGCCAGAUUCCAUGCCUGCCGCAGAAUCUGCCGAGUUGGAAGUGGGGGGAGGGCUUUUAUUAGAGGAAGAAGAAGAAAAGGACGGAGGAGAUUGAUGAAAAAAGAGGGUUCAUUGAACUUGGACCCUUUUUUUUUUUUUUUUUUUUUUUUUUUUUUUUUUUUUUUUUUUCAAGGACCACUCGUGUGGCUUCACAGUUUCUCAAUUUAAUAUCAUGUAAUUUAAAAUAUAUCAAUUUAGUAUCUUGUGUUCCUUUUUUUUUAUCUUUUUAUUCUCAAUUUUAUUAAUUAUUUUUGUUAAAUUAGUAACCAAGUUAAAACUAAAAAUACUAAAAUAAAUAUUCGAUAAACCAAGAUGAAAUAUAUAAAAUUUUUUGUACAUAAUUUAAUAAAAUAUUAACAAAAAUACUGUCAGAAAGAUAAAAAUAAUAUUUUAAAUUAUAAUAUACUAAAGUGUAAAAAUACGAAAUCAGAUGGAUGGUAUUUGAAGUUUACCCAUUUUUUUUAAGAUGCCUCUUUAGUGGCUUUGAAUUUCGAGUACUGUAUGAAAAAUGCUGUUUGUGGCGGUGCUAUAAUUGGUGGGUCCGAUGAUUGGGAAUGGAUGGGAUUAACCUCGGAUUCGAGUAAUUAAUAAUAAAAAGGUAAACUUCAAAUACCACCCUUAGUUUCACACUUUUUUAUUUAGUACUUCAUAAUUUAAAGUAUAUCAAGUUAGUGUUCUGUAAUUUUAUUUUUAUCUUUUCGUCAGCUUUUUUGUUAAUAUUUCGUUAAAUUAUAUAAAAAAAAAACUUCAGAUACCCUACUUAAGUUUAUCAAAUAUUCUUUUUAGUACUAUUUAGUUUUAACUUUGUCACUAAUUUAACAGAAAAAAUUAGUAAAAUCGAUAAUAAAAAAUAAAAAUAAAAUCACAGGACACUAAAUUUAUACACUUUAAGCCACAUGGUACUAAAGUGAGAAAGUGUGAAACCACAAGGUGGUGUUUGAAGUUUUUUCUAGUAAAAAUACAGCAAUUUCUUAUAUAUCUAUAAAAAGUUUUUGACUUUCAUACUUAAUUUUAAAAAUACUCUUUUAAGAUUUCAAAAUCUUUAAAAUAUAUUUCUAGAGGAACUAGGCUACUAUACUAUCGGUAGGACGGAGCGCUCCGUGCUACCAAGUUGUUUUCGAUGAUGCGGCUUCCAAAUCGAUGAUCGGCUCUGUUAGACUUGAUCUACACUAUUGAAAGUAUUUAGAAACUAAAUUUCAUAAUUUUUCGAUAUCAUUUACCUAUCAAACAAGUAGUCCAAAAUUGAACAGCUGAAAAUAAAAAUCUCAUGAAAAAUGAUGAUAAAAGAUUUAAAUUCAAAAUCAGAUAUACUGAUCUUACUCUAAAUAGUGAAAAGAAUUUUCUAUAAAAUUUUCAUCGCAUUUGGAUUGUUUUUUACACCGUUAAACUCACAAACACACCACAUCGGCCAUUAAAAUUGUCAAUUUUGAAAUCUUUUGAUCACUAGUCAAAUGAUGUUGAAAAAAUAUGAAAUUAGUUUCCAAAUACUUUCAAUAGUGUAGAUCAAGUCUAACGAAGUCGAUCGUCGAUUUGGAAGCCGCAUUAUCGAAAACAACUUGGUAACACGGAGCGCUCCGUGCUACUGAUAGCAUAGUAGCCGGACUCUUUCUAGAGUUAAAUUUUAUUAUUGAACUUUUAGAAAUCGCCGUUAUUUCUGUAAAAUUUUUAUUUUACCUUUUCAAAUAUACCUUUUUACCGUCACUAACUUUUUUUAUUUCCCCUAAGUUAAGGGUAAAAGUAGUAUUUGACUUUUUGUCUUGUGAAAUAUAUCCUUCUAUUAUCAUCAAUUUUUUUUUUUUGAGAAUAGAUUAUCAUUAAUUUUUUUUAAUUUGCCCUUUAGUUAGGGACAAAAUAGAUAUUUUUACUAUUUUUUAAUUAUGGUAGAAAUUUAAUUGAGAUUUACUUAAAUCCGGUAUGAUUUAAUGGGAAUUAACAGGGGGGUACUUUUGAAUAACCAAGAAAUAUGUGAGGAGUAUAUUUGAAACCCAAAAAAAUAGGAGUUGAGGUAUUUGAAAAGUUUUAAGAGGUAUAUAAAUAAUUUUCUCUAAUAAAAUUAACAAGAUUUUUUAUUUUUAAUCCUAUUAAGUGUAGGGCUGUGAACGAGUCCAACACCAACGCGUUAAGAUCGGCUAGUGUUCUUUCGUUUAUUAACCAAGCCAAAUACAAACUCAAUUUGUUAAAAUAUCGAGCUAAAAAUUCAGCUCAUAUUCUGCUUAUUUAUUAAUAAGUCAAAUAUGAAUUGACUCGCAAACAGCAAAUUAGAUUGUCAACCUUACAACUGGAUAAAAAGUAAAAAAAAAAAAAAAAGAUUAAAAAACUAGAUUAUUAAUAUGAUAAUUAAAAUUUAUAAAAUAUAGACCUCUAUAUUUGGGUUGGCCAGAAGCUAUAUUGAGUCGAACACGAACGAACUAACUCUAAAUCGUGUUUGGCUCGUUUAUUAAACAAGUGAUCGAUCUUGAGCUCAUUUCAAACUGGAUUGCCGGCCCUAAUUAAGAGCAUAAGUAGCAAGCUAUAUCAUGCAAUACUACUAAUAUACAAUACUCUCACCGACCGUUCCUAGAGCAACUGACAAAGGGCUUGAUGGUUGGUACCCGAGACCCAAGUUCGAAUCCUAGUUGAUUUAUAUUUCUAGCUAAGUUUAUUUCUAAAUGAAAUAAACGAAGCGGGUAGCAUGCUUACAAGUACUAAUUACUGGGCACAUAUUGUUUAAGAUGUCAAAUAUUUAAAGGAAAAACUUCAAAAACCCCCCGUGGUUCCGACCGUUUUCACUUUAGUACCCUGUGGUUUAAAGUAUAUCAAUUUAGUGCUCUGUGGUUUCAUUUUUCUUUUUUUAUUAUCCAUUUUAUCAUUUUUUUUCUUUAAUCAGUGACAAAAUUAAAAUUAAAGAGUACUAAAGUGAAUAUUCGAUAAACCUAGGUGGAUAUCUGAAGGUUUUUGUAUAUAAUUUAACGAAAUACUAACGAAAAAGCUGACGAAAAGAUAAAAAUGAAACCAUAGGGCAGCAAAUUGAUACACUUUAAACCACAGGGUACUAAAGUGAGAAAGUGCGAAACCACAGGAGUUUUUUUUUGAAGUUUCCCUAUAUUUAGAAUCAAAGUUGGCAUGUUUCGUGCAAGAUCUAGCAUUAAAUUGGUCUCACAUUUAGUAAUGUUUAAGUAAUAAAAGCUUUGUGGUGAAGAAUAAUUUUAUUGAUUGAUUGUUGUUCUAAUAAUUUUAGAUUGUUAUUGUACACGUGAGGUUUAAUUGGACUGGACCAAACCAAUUAGAUGUUGAGCCUGUUUGGAUGCAUGAAUCGAGUGAUUGAAACUCGAAUGACAAAAAUCGAUACGUACGAAAUUAACCUUAUUUUGAGGGCAAUUUCAAACAAACCCCUCAAAAGUUAUAAAAUAUCAUAGUUGCCCUUUUAAAUUUAUCAAUAUUAUUUUUAUCCCUAUAAAUUAAUGAAUUAUAUAAAAAAAAUGCUCUUCAAUGUUAAUCAUUGAUUAAAAAUUUUAAACUAAUUUAUCCAUUGUUGUACCUAAUUAUAAAUAACUAUGUAGUAUCAUAUAGGGCUAAUAAAUUAAUUUUUUAUCAAAACAUAACUAAGUUUUUAUUUAUGAUUCAAUUUAUGAAUGCAUUUUUUUUUUUUUGCACUCAAGUUUUCAUUUUUAUCAAUAUCAUAUGGGUCACAUGUUUAAUCAUAAUAAACAAUUAGAUGAAGCUAAAACUAUAUUACACUUUUGUGAGNAAUAUCUAUCAAAUUAAAACUAAUUAAUUGCAACAAACUACACUAUAUAAAUAGCAAAUAAAAAAAUCAUAGACAAAAUAAAAAAAAAUAGACUCACUCAAGUUUUCAUUUUUAUCAAUAUCAUAUGGGUCACAUGUUUAAUCAUAAUAAACAAUUAGAUGAAGCUAAAACUAUAUUACACUUUUGUGAGUCUAUUUUUUUUUAUUUUGUCUAUGAUUUUUUUAUUUGCUAUUUAUAUAGUGUAGUUUGUUGCAAUUAAUUAGUUUUAAUUUGAUAGAUAUUUAAUUGUAUUUACAAUUUCAUCAAACAAAAUAAUGUAUAAGUUAAUUAAAAAAAUAUAGAAAAUAAAUGAUGGACAAAUGAAAAUUUUAUUUAGUUUUUUAGUAAAUUGUUAUCAAUUUGGGUACUUUUGAUAUUGACACUCUAGAGGGGUAUCUUUGUAAUUUAACGUUUUUGUUGUUUGGUUCGCCGUAAAAAAUUUACGGUCGGAACUCGAGUUAAUCUAAAAUGACGUAAUUGACUUCAAUACAUCGUGGCCGAAGUCAAUUACGGUGAAGGAAAGGUGAAGAAAAAAUAAUAAAAUAAUACACUAGGUAAAGAUAGUUAUAUUUAAAUAUAUUUAAUUAUGGUACUAAUUACUCUUUUAUCCGGUUGGUAUAUUUAAAAUAUGAUAAGUUAAAAUAUGAUAAGUUUUAAUUUUUUUUUAUUUUGUUUGUACAAUUAAAAUAUGAUAAAAAUUGAUUAAUUGAGUAUUAAUAUUUUUUUACUUUAUAAUUUUAUUAUUGUAUUACUAUAAUUUAUGUAUAAAAAAUAAUUUAGUUAUUUCAAAUUAAAUUUUAAUUAUAAAAAAUAAUUAUAUUAUUUUUAUUUAUUAAAUUAUUUAUUAUUUAUAAUUUUAUAUCAUAUAUUUCGUACUAAACAAACAGCAGAAUUAAUAAAACUUCACUUUAUCACUACAAAACAAACAACAGAAAAAAAUAGUUUUUAUUGAACUCCACUUCAACCUUAAAUUCGCUUCAACCGAAAGUCCAGUUUCAGUGAAACAAACAUGCCCAAAAUUGAAGUGCAUUCGGAAGUCGUGAGAUCAUGUCCUAAUUCUCAUUUACAAGCAUUCCCUAGCAGGAAAAAAUGGUGUCACGCGCAUAGUUCGUGCUUUUCUAGUUUAAUAUGAAGUAUGAAUAUCUAGAAGUUUUUCAUCAAGAUCUUUCUCACAACUACGUGAUGAAGCUGCAGUAGUAAAAGCUUCUAAUCAGAAUUUCUUUUCUAUAAUUCAAAUUUCAUGUCGACUCUCAACUAUAAUCAGAUUCUCAACUAAAAUAGACUCAUAACCGAAUGAGCGAAAGACUCUUUUAGUUCAGAGAUAAAAACGGUCAAAUAUGGUUGGAUUUUUUAAGAAACUAUAUUCCCAUCCUUUUUUUUUUUGCAUAUAAAUGUUAGAUUUUGACAUUCAUAUUCGCAUCCAAUCUAAUUUAAUGUCGAAUUCGAUCAGAAUUUACCUAGUAACAUCUCAAAAAUCAUUUUUUAGAAAUGCUAACGAAUGAUAAAUUAUUUUCACAUCCAUCAUAUUGGGCCCUAACGGGCGAGCCGAGCGGAUUAUGAAUCGACCAUUAUAUCCACCCGGCCCAUGGCACAGCACGGCACGGCACGGCACGACACCAUGCGACAGGAAACACUACUUUUAAUCUCAGAGCACUAAACCAUUAGCCAAACAACUACGACCCUUAAAAGCAGCAUUUACACAUCUUUAAAGCUUUGUCCUCACGCUAAAGUCCAAGACCCAAUUUGUACAAAACUACAAAUAUAUUACACCCCAAGAGAUAUUCUUAUCUAGACCCGAUCUACCACGUCAUCCAUCGACCGAGUCAUUUAAAACAGUUUCUACGUGGGUUUCCCACAUAUUUUAUUACAAUCCAACCACGUGUCCCAUGUUGAUUGGCUAGGACCUGGCACAGCAUCUAAUAUUAAAAAGUCUUUUUUACAAGAAAUUAUUAAUUUUGAAAGUGUAUUACAUAGGAAUCAAAAAAAUUUACAACUUAAUACUAUAGAAAGUAACACUAAUUAAUUAUUUAAAAAGGUUAAACACAUCCCAACUAACCAAACUUUUUAUUAAUUAGUCUGCAAACACCCUUUUAAUUUUUGAAAAGUUUUACAUUUGCCAUCUAAACUUUUACGAUUUUGUAAUUAAUUAUUUCAUUAAUUUAAAGAACUAAUAGACAAAAAGGCUAUUUUAUAUCGUCGGCAUGUGUUGUUUGUUAUAUUUUUAUUUUUUGAGUCGAAUAUAAAUUGCUAUAAUAUAAAUAUAAGUCAUUAAUUCCAAAUUUUAAAAUUUUGGGUUGCAAAUAUAAAAUUUGUAAAAUGAAAAAAAAAAUAGAUAGUUCUGAUAUAUUUAUUGCUGACUAAAAUAAGUAUUUAAAGUGUUAUAAUUUUCAGGACAUUAGCUCAAGUAGUGUAGUACAUUCAUAAACCUCCACAAUCGAAUGUAGAGCAAUAAUACAUGUGCAUUCAAAAGUGGGUAUAAAUUUUAGGCCAUACUUAUCAAAGGUUUAUAUUAUUAAGCUUUUCUUAUCACACUCUUAUUUUUUUAAUACUGAAUAUUAAAAAACAUUGUAUAUACUUUUAGGCUGUAUUUGAAUGUCAGAAUAAAAUAUCUAACAAUAAUUUAAUUAUUUGGUAUAAAAUUUUUUUUAGCUUGAAUGAAAAUUAAUUAUUUUGUUUUUAUUUUUUAAACAAAUCUUAGUAUUUGUGAUUUAGUAGAAUAGUAUACUUUACCUAAAAAUUUAUUUAUUUUAUUUCAAAAAGUAAUCUAAACGAUCAAUAUAGUGUUUAUUUUAAACAUUUCGUAAUAUUUUUCAUUGAGUUAAUUACACUAUUGGUCCACAACCUUUGUAUUUCUUUUUACUUUAAUUUACUUUUUUUUUUUCAAUCAAGUGUUUAACUACUUGAUUUUAUUACGAUUAAGUCCCAUACCAAAAGUUGGGAACCAAGGGUGUAAUUAACUCAUUUUCAAUUUAUCAAAUACUGUAUAAUUUAUACUCUAACUUUGGUGUCGGGUGUGAAACGUACGUACACCGGGCGCAGGGAAUAUUUCUCCACCACGUUUAAAGGGCAAGCAAUUGGCCAAAUUGGUAACGGCGAAACGAGACGACGCUCAAUCCCCAAAAUCCCCAAAUCAACAAAGAAAUCGAAGAUCGUGAUCGAGAGAGAGAGAAAGAGAGAGGAAGAGAGAAGCGCGAAGAAGCUUCGGGAAGAGGCGGCGGAGGGGUCAGCGCCGGUGCCGGUGCCGGUGCCGGUGCCGGAGCUGGGGGAGGACGCGAUCUACGAGGUGCUGCGGCGCGCGGACGCGCGGACGCUGGCGGCGGCGGCGUGCGUGAGCCGGCGGUGGCGGCGCCUCGCCGCCGACGAGCGGCUGUGGGAGGCGGCGUGCGUCCGCCACUGGGAGGCCGCGCGCGACUACGGCGGCGCCCGCCUCCGCCCCGUCGUCCUCGCCCUCGGCGGCUUCCGCCGCCUCCACUCCCUCUACCUCGCCCCCCUCCUCCGCCCCCCCCACCCCUCCCCCCCUCCGAUCGCCGCGUCUUCGUCGUCCCCGUCUCCGAUCGCCGCCUCCUCGCCGUCCCCGUCUCCGAUCGCCGCGUGGCCGAUGGAGCGCGCCGGCGCCGGCGAGGCCGAGGGCGGCGCCGGCGGCGGGGGGGAGGAGGUGGGGGAGGGAUGAGGUGCAGCUGUCGCUGUCGCUGCUCUCGAUAGGGUUCUUCGAGAGGAUGAGCGCGGGGGAGUACAAAGGAGGAGGAGGAGGAGGAGGAGGAGGGGAAGGGGACGGGAGAGGGUAGAGUCACUGCCGCUCCGGAUCGGAACCGGUAUGGUUACCGCCUCCUCUCUCCUCCUCCUCCACCUCCCCUAUCUCACUUUUUCUUUUUUUCUUUUUUUCUUUUUUUGAAGUUAAAUUUUGAUUGGAAAAUGGGUAGGGUCACCGCCCCGUUCACCGCAUCGGGUAUGCUUACCGCCUCCCCCUCUCCCUCUCUUCCUCUUGUCGUAUCUUUCCCUUUUUUUCUAUGUGCUUUUUUUUUUUUGUUUUUUUGUUUUUUUAUGUUUUCACUUAAUUUUGAGGAUAAAUAAGCAUACUUUUGGUUCUCAAACUUUAAAGCGUGUCACGUUUUGAUCCUCAAAUUUUAAUUUACUAUAGUUAUUGUAAUUUAGUACAAUUGAACUGAAAAUUAAAGUUAAAAAUUAUAGUAAAUUAAAGCUUGAAGAUCAAAAUCUCACACACUUAUAGUUUGAGGACCAAAAGUGUAAUCUAGCCUAUUUUUUAUUUGAAAUUUCUCUCUCUCUGUGUGCUUGUGUGUGAUUGUUAUGGGAUUAAUGUGUUUCUUCUUGUAAUAUCUAGUGUUGUAUAAUAUCAUUAAUAUUAUGCAGUGAUGAAUUAUGCUCUCUUUUUUUCUUCUAAUUAAAUACCAUCAAGAAGAUAAAACUAAUUGAAAUUAUAUAUUCAUGUAAAAAUCAGCAUUAACAGGUUGAGCUCUUCACAUUCAUCAGUUAAUGACUUGAAUUUUUGUCACUUAUGGCGUAAUAUUUUCUAAAUUUUUUUUCAUUUUAGCACAAAUGAGAAUGUUAAGAACAUAAAUUAGUUGUUUGUUUUGAAAUUGCAGAAUAUUAAGAUUGCAAUACUUUUUCUAUGUUUACAUAGUUUUGCUGUAUUUGUAAGUGAUGCAAUUAUGGGAUCAUUUUAUAAUCUAAAUUUGGUGUGAAAAAAUGACAUUAAGUAAUAUAAAGGGCCCUAUUGCAUAAAAAGAAAAAUCUAAUGAUGGUUUUUAUGAUGUUGCAAGAAUAAGCUCACAUUUCAAAUUUUAUAAAAUUAAUUUUAUUUUUUUUAACGGACCAAAAUAUCCUGCAUCCUUGCUCGAGUGGGGGAGAUGGAAGAGGAAGGAGAGGGUGUUGUUAUUUUAGUCCAUGUUUAAAAAAUAUAAAUUUAAUUUUAUAAACUUUAAAUUUUUUUUUUUUCAAAAUUAUGAAAUUAUUAAAUUUUUUUUCUGGAAAAGGGCCAGUACAAAAUAUUUGCCCCUGUUGGAAGGGGGAUUUAGGACCAGCCACUGGGGAAAGGUCUGAAACAGCAUUAUUGAGGCAGAAGAGGACAAAGGGAGAGUGAGAGUAUGAAUGAGUUAAAGAGAAGGGCCCACUCCCAAAGGGAGAGUGAGAGUAUGAAUGAGUUAAAGAGAAGGACCCACUCCCAACUCUUUCUCUCUCUUUAUAUGUGUUUGGCCAAUUUGCAUAAAAAAUUUAUAAAUUUUGAGCUUUAGUAAAAUUAGACCGUCUUUUUUUAUUUUACAGAUUCGGUUCGAAUAUUCAAUAAAUUGAUCAAAAUAUUCUUAUUAUUUUUUUCUUUCUUUUCUUUUUUUUUUUUUUAUUCUCUCGUUCGUUUUUUUUUUCUCUGUCCGAAAAAGGCAGCGGAGACAGAGGCGAAGAGGCGAAGGAGGAAACGGCCCGCCUUGCCUCUCUCACCCUCAUGCCCUCGCUCUCACCCGUGCAUCCUUGCCUUUUUUGCCUCUGAUUCCGUCGAGGCCGCGUCGUGACUUUUUUUUUUUUCCUCUCCAACCCUCCUCCACCAUAUCUGAUGACGAUGCCUCUCUCAUCCUUUCCCGCCCUUCUCGCCCUCUCCCUUUCCUUCCUCCUCCGACGCCAACACCUCUCCGCCGACGCCGACGCUGCGGAGGUCGCUAUAGUCUCGGAGUGAGGAUUUCUUAGCGGUGUUGUCGCCAUCGCCGGCGCCGUGGUUAUGGCCGUUGGCGGAGAGGCGUGACAAAAAAUAAUUGUAGAAGAAUGAAGGAGAAAAAUAUAAGAAUAACAGUUGAAACUACACCCAGAAAGUAGCAGUUGAAAAGAGUAAUUUUGAAUAAAAGAUAAGUUUACCAACCUAAUCAAUUUUAAAAUAAAUAAUUUUUUUUCUACAUUAGAGAUAAUUUUACCACCACAUAUGGAGAGUAAUGAAAUUUUACAAAUGAACUUCUUAACUAAAUUCAACUAAAUAAAUUAUUUAUAGUUACANCAUAAUCCGCCCCACCUCGUAACCCGCCUCCCGCCGGCGCCCCGAAUCCGCCCCACCAACUAAUAUUUUUUAUAAAAUUAUAAUAUUAUUAAUAUUUUGUAAAAUAUAAAUUAAUAAUUUUUAAUAAUAUUAUAUAUAUAAUUUAACAAUAUUAAUGGUAAAAAUUAAAAAUAUCAAUCACAAUUCAAAACAAAAUUCAAAUAUUUCAAAUACAUUAGAAAUGAGAGUAAUAACUUAUUUGUAUUUUAAACUUUUUUUUAUAAAUAUAUUAUUUUUUGGGAAUAUUUUUUAAAAAUACAAAUGAUAUUUGGGGCGGAUUCGGGGCGGAUUCGGGGCGGGGCGGAUUCGGGGCGGAUUCGGGGUGGGUCAAAAUUUUUUCCGUUUCCUGCCCUGAAUCCGUCUCGGAUCAUAAAACUUACCCCGUUUCCUGCCCCGAAUCCGUUUAUUUUCUCCCAUUUACCGCUCCCGUCGGGGCGGAUCGGGGCGGGAGCUCCACCAACCCGGAUCCGUUUGCAUCCCUAGUAGCAGUUGAAAAGAGCGAUUUUGAAUAAAAGAUAAGUUUACCAACCUAAUCAAUUUUAAAAUAAGUAAUUUUUUUUCUACGUUAGAGAUAAUUUUACCACCACAUAUGGAGAGUAAUGAAAUUUUACAAAUGAACUUCUUAACUAAAUUCAACUAAAUAAAUUAUUUAUAGUUACAAUGCUUUCUGCUGCAUUCAAAUAAACGAGAUAAAUAUAGCUAUAACUCUUGUAUCUCUGAGGGAGUCGUUUGGUUAGAUGUAAUUGAAAAUACAAUGUACUUUGAGAUUUUAUAGUUGGAAAUAUUAUAGUUACAAUUAUAUAUAUAUAUUGUUUGUUGGAUGUGAUAGAAAGUGCAGCAACCAUAAAUAUUUUGUUUGAUUAUGUGCGGUUGAUAAACGCAUUUACAAGAUUUUAUAAUUUUUAUAUGAAUAGUGAGAUUACUCUCUACAUAAAAAAAUAUAUAUAUUUUUCUAUUAGGAAGAUUUUUAAGGAGGUAAACUUAUCAUUGCUUAAUGUUAUUCUUUCCAACUACUGCAGUAAAAAUUACGGUCAAUUUAGGUGUAGUUUCAACUGUUACAUUUGAGCCUCUUUGAGUAGUUCCAACUGCAAUAAUUAAAUUCAAAUAUAUGAAACCAAACAGCGUAUACUCGCUAAAAAGAAAAAUGACGAACAAUUAUUUGUUUUUUAAGUUUUAUUAAUGACGAUAAAUCGUUUACCGUAUUAUAUUUAUUGGACAAAAUAUGUUUAUUUAGCCAAAUAAAUUUUUAACAAAAUUGUUUUUCCAAAUAUAACUUUUUUAAAAAUUAUUAUGAAAAAAAAUCUAUUUAUUCAAUAUGAUACUUGUGUAAAUAGCAAUCAUUUAUUAAUAACUAGCGAUAAUAUAUAAUAUAUUCGUCAAAACUUUAAAAAUAUCUUUAAUAUAUCCUUGGUGGUCCUAAAUGCCCUUAUCGAUUUUUAAAUUUUUUUCAAAUAUAACCCUAAUUCUAAAAUUUACUAGUGAAAUUUGGGAUUUAGAAAGGUAUUUUGGGAAUAUAUAAAGUGAAAUUAAAAAUUUUUAAUCUUGAUGAGGAAUGUAUAAAAGUCUACUGAGAAAUGCUUGGAGUACCCCAUUUUUAAGUACCCUAUUUUAUUGUUGUUGAGUUGGCAUACAUUAGGGUUAGGGCUUAGGGUUUAGAGUACAAUGAUUGCAAUUAACAUUUAAUAAUAAUAUUUGGAAUUUGGGUUGAGCUCUUAUACUUUUAAAAGUAUAGGAGUAUUUGUGCCUGUAACUUUUUAGCUUUCAGAUUUUCUUAAUAUUCGUAUAGCACUACAAACGAUAUAUUUUGGUGUGAGUGGAGUGAUGGAACUCAAGUUCUAUCACUUUCGUUAUUUAUUUUGGUAUAAAUCAAAAAUAUAAUGUAAUUCAAGUUACGUUAGAUCUCUACUUCACCUAUUUUCGACUUCCUCCUCUAAAGUGCCGAACUCGACUUCGCCACACUCAACCUCUUCUAAAAAAUUUAUUAAAUAGUAAAUCUAAACUCUACUUUCUUUAUAAUGAGUUAAAAUUAUCUUAUUUAUAAUAAAUUAGGAUUACCUUUAAAUAAUAAUAAAAAAUUUAAUUAUAUAAUAAGUUAAAUUUUUUAGCGAUAAAUUUAUCACCACAUUUAGGAGAUAGCGGGAUCCACUUACUUACAUCAAAAUAAAUAACAAAACUUAAAAAAUUAAUUUUACAAGUACUCAGUUACAUCAAAACGAAUAAAAAAAUAAUUAAAUUUAACUUUCAGACUGUACGAGUUACGUCAAAAUAAAUAAUAAAAAAAAAAUCAUAUUUUAAGAAAAUUUAAAUAUCACUAUACUUGACUUACGUACGAUCUAUAGAUUCUUCAAUCAGCCCCUUGAGUCUUCUUUGUUAGUGCUACAUGAAUCUUAAAACGAUUCAUCAGUUAAAAAGAUACAAACUUAUUUAAGUUUCUGUGCAUUCUCAGAGCAUACUUUUUAGGCGGUGUUUGGUUCCUCGUAAAACCGGCUUAAAAAAAAAAAAAAAAAUCUCAAUGGAAAAGUACAAUUCCAUGGUGAACCUUUUCUCUCGUGAGAGUAUAGUAGUCGGACUCUCUCUCUCUCUCUCUCUCUCUCUAUAUAUAUAUAUAUAUAAAUUUAUUUUAUAAAUAUAUAUUUAUUUAUUAUAUAUAGUAUUUUAUUUUUAUAUAGAAAUAUUAUUAUAUAAUAUUUUAUUCAUUAUUUAUUAAUAUUUCUAAAUAUAUAACUUUUAUAUAUUAUUAAUAUAUGUUUAUUAUAAUUUUAAAUAUAUUUAAUAUAUAUAUAAAUUAUAAUAAUAAUAUAUAUAGUAUGUUAAUUAUAUAUUAUAUAAUAAAAAAUAUAUUAAAUAGUUUUUUUAUUUAUUUUUCUUUUCCAAUCAAUCAAACUAACUGUAAUGGAAAAUUAAUUUUCUUUUUCUAUAAGUCAAAUACUAAACACGUAAAACGUUUUUUCCAUCGAAAUUUUUUUUCCACCGAAAUUAUUAUUUUCAGUUUUACGAGGAACCAAACACGCCCUUAGCAACAUUCAUUGCUGAUAUGAAAAAUAUUUUUUUGCUUGUUUGGUUUGACGUAAAAAUAUUUAUUUUUAUAAAUUUGGAGAAAAAUUAAAGUUUUCGUUUUUGCUUUUUUUUCCAGCAAAACAUAAAAAUUCAAGUUGCGUAAAAUUUUUUCAUUGAUUUUUUGACCGAAUCAAAUAAAUGUGAACUUUUUUUUUCCUUUCAACCAAAUAAAUAUUUAUAAAAGAUUAUUUGUUUUACAAACCGAACACUAUAAAAGCUUCGUUUGGGAUUGCAACGAGAUUUCCUUACGUGCGAUGAGAAACGACGAUGAGAAAAUCUCUUAUUUGUUUCCGUACGUAAUUGUUACGUUCUGCAUAUUACAGUUAAUCGGUUACGCGGUCCCACCGGAGAACACAGAAGUAUAUCUCUAUAUAUUUUUUUUCAAUUUCAUUCUAUCUAAUAGAAUUAGAUAAAUCUCAAUAAACACGGAACUAAGCUAAAGUGUAAGAAAAAAACUUUUCACCGAAAUUUUUUGUACAUAAUUAUUUUUUACGAUUUUACGCUGUACCAAAACGGAUCUUAGCCAUGCGCAAAAUGUAUGAAUACACAUGGUGCAGUGAGAAUAGUUCAUAUUUUUGUUCUCUUGUCCUUUUUCUCCUUUCUCAUGUGUUAUAGCCGUAUAGGUCAAGGCAUGAGGUCCAUAGCCUUUGGAGUUAUUAUUGUGUUGUGGUGUUUAUGAGGACAAAGGGAGAGCCAAAGAGAGAGAGGGGUGUGUGUUUUGGAAUUUGGUAUGUUUUGGCCCUUUUGGGGAAACCCCCUUAUAUUAUUUUAUUUAUUUAUUACAUGUUUGAUGUAGUAAAUGCUCUUUGAAUAAUAAGUGGGCUAUAUAAGUGUUUUUUUGUUUGGAUGUGCCCACAUGUGGCUUUUCUUUGUGGUGGCUCUUUGUGGAUCUGAAAAGAUGCCCUAUCAGUAGUGUUGAUGGAGACAAUUUUUAGGCUGUUGUACCAAUGUUUUUUUUUUUUUUUUUUUUAGUAUAAACUUCAAAUACCGUGUCUUUUAGGUGGCGUUUGGUUUAAAAAUAAAAGGAGAAUAAGUUCUUGUUCCCCCUUUGUUUCCAAAUAUCACGUUUUGUUUUCGGAAACAGCAGUUUCCAGAUUCCUAGAAUAAGUUGGUAUAAGGCUGAACUGUUGUUCCACCUUUUUCUGGAACAAACUUGUUCCCGGAUGAGAAGAAGGUUAAUUAAAGUCUAAAUUUAAUUUUAACGACAGUAAAUCUUUAAUUAAUCUAAUUAACAUAUUUAAAGUAUUAUUUAUUUAAAAUAAUUAAUUAAUUUAUUAUUUAUAAUUAAUUAUUAUUAACUAUAUAAUAAUUAUUAUUCUUAAUAAUUAGAUAAUAGAUAUUAUUAAUAAUUUAUUAUUUAUAAUUAAUUAUUAAUAAUUUGAUAAUUAAUAUUAUUAAUUUAUUAUUUAUAAUUACUUAUUAAUACUUUUUUAUAAUUAUUAUUAUUUAUUAAUAAUUAGAUAAUCGAUAUUAUUAUUAAUUUAUUAUUUAUAAUUAUUUAUUAAUAAUUAUUAUUUAAUAAUAAUCUAUUAAUAAUUAUUAUUAAUUAGAUAAUCGAUAUUAUUAUUUAUAAUUAAUUAUUAAUAAUUUAUUUAUUAUUUAUUUUUAAGUAAUAUUUUGAUGUUAAUUAAUGAGAUAAUAUAAUUUUAAUUUCAAAUUAUAACUCUUAUUACUCUUGUUCCAAUCUAACCAUCCAAAUACUAUUUACCUUAUUUCUAGAGACAACUCAAAUUUCAUUCAAAUGCAAAAUUGGUUUAGUUUCUUCUUAUACCUGAACUUAUACCCUAUCCCUGGAACAAGCAGUUUUUAUUUAUACCCAAACCAAACGCAACCUUAGCAUCUUUAGUUAACUGCCUGUUAAAUUAUAUACAAAAAAUACUUCAGAUACCCAAGUUAUAAUCUGUUGAAUAUUCACUUUAGUACAUUAUGAUUUACCAAAGUUUUACUUUAAUAUCAUAUGAUUUUAAUUUUGUCACUGAUUUAACAGAAAAAUUAAGAUUGCAAUACUACAGAUAAAGUGAUACGUUUUAAAUUAUUGGGUACAAAAGUGAGAAAGUGCAAAAUUACAGAAUAGUAUUUGAAGUUUUUUCUAAUUUUUAAAAUAAAAAAAUGGUUUUUGGGUAAAUUGCAUUUUUGGAUCUUGAGUUAUGAGUCUUUGGGUAACUUGCCUAUGAAACUUAGAUAGCUAGAAUCCCACUUAGUAAUAUACCCAUUUUUAAUUUUUUUAAUUAUUUUCUUCUUGUUGUUAUCUCCACUCUUUUUAGUGUGAACUAGUCAAAUUUGAAUUAUAUUUUUCCUCAAAAUGUAAAUCAUCAAGAUCUAUUUGACUUUUGUUUUCAAGAAACGCCACCUCUAUAUUCAAAAAUGUGGUUUAAACAUUAUACAUCAUUCAUAAUUCUCCAUUUCAUCGCGCUAGUUUUAUCACAUCCUUUUCAUGCUUUUAGUUAACUAUAGGUAAAAUACUUAACCUUAGUUAGUUAAUGAGAUGAAUUGAUCUCCUUACCCUUUUUUAAUUAAUAAUUAAGAUUUUUGAAGGAAUAUAUUUAUGAUGGGAAAAAUGUUAUUUCACUUAUAAAAUAAACAGUGCUUUAAUAGUAACAAACCAGAAUGACAUAUUUGAAAAUAUUAGAAUUUUUAUAUAGACAACAUAUGAAAACUGAACUUUGUAGAAAUAUAAAUGUAAUUUACUAUAUUUGCAGGAAUCUAUAUAAAUUUUUUUUUUUUUUUUUUUUUUGUUACAAAACAAGGACUCAACAUGGCCCUUGGGAUAAUGCGGUACAAAAUUUAUACUCUUUUUUAGGUGCACGAAUAAUAUUGCUUUUAAAAAGUAAGGAUGUGAAAAGACUAGUGUGAUAAAAUCGGCCUAUGAAUGGGCAGAGUGUCACAUUGACAUUCACUUUUGGUAUUAUUAGUUAUCUUUGGUUAGAAGUUUUAAAUUAAAACCAAAUCAUCGCAACAAUAUGUCAAAGGUAAAACAAAAAAGUAAAUUGGUCCCCUUCUUUCUUUAGCAUGAAAUUUUGGGCUAGUGAUUAACGCCAACGAUCCGCAAACCACAAGUGGUAUCAAAGCUUUAAUUUUCUUUUAGUUCUAGUUUUUGUUUUUAGAAUAGUAGUUAGCCCAAAAAGUGUUGGUUGGGCUUUCAUGGUUUCAUAUCCUAUAUACCAAUGUUAGUGUAGUUGAUUAAGUUGACCAAAGCCUAGUUCUCUUGGGUCAACAAAGUUGGGCCACUUGGGAUAGCCCAAGCCCAUUCACACCUCUAAUUUUAUUUUAGGGAUAACUGCCUAUAUACCUCUCAAAACUUCGGAAACAUCUAAUUUUUUUUAUACUUUCUUUUUUGGUUUCAAAUAUACCUCUCGUUGUUUCUCUGUUAUUCAAAAAUACUCCUGCAGUUAUCAUUCGUUAAGUUAUCUCGAAUUAAACGUGAGUUAUAUGUCUACCAGAAUUUUAAAAAAAAUUAAAAUACCUAUUUUGCCCUAAAAUUAAAGACAAAUAAGAAAAGUUGAUAUCGGUAGCAGAGUAUAUUUGAAAAGAUAAAAAAUUAAAAUAUUUAUUUUGCCCCUAACUUAAGAGCAAACAAGAAAAGUUGGUGAUGGUAGAACCGUAGAAAGAUAUAUUUGAAAUGGCAAAAUAGUAACUUUACAGAGGUAAUGGUUGUUAGUAACAGUUUACUAAUAAAAUUUAACUCUAGAGUUAUAUAUUUGAAAUAACUAGAACGUUAAAAAUAUAUUUUUAAUAUUAGUCUUUUAAGAGGAAUAAAUUAGAAAGUCAAAAAUAUUUUAGGGGUAUAUAUAUGCAAUUGCCUCUUUAUUUUAUUGAAAGUUGAAGCCAUAUUGUUUAGGGUUAUAAAUUGCCCCUAUGAGGUUUCACGCUUUUUUGACACUAUUUAUAUGCACUAUUUUGAGGGAACGGUAGCAUAUUAUCAGUUUCGUUUAUUUUUUUAUAUUAUUUAUCUAACGAUCAGAAGGUUGCCAAUUUAUACAUUUUUGAGAGUGAUAGAAUGCUACUUGCUUCUUUCAUUUUUAUUUUUAUUUUUUUCGAAAUGGACUUAGCUGAAUAUGUGAAACAUAUAAAGCUUCGAACUUGGUACCAAUCAUCAGGCCAUUUUGCCACUUGUGCUAGGAAAGGUCAGUACCAAUUUAUACUUUUAAUAAUUGAAUAUAUAGGGUAUUUUUCUAUUUAACAGUGUAAAAGAGCUCAAAUCAAUUAAUGGUGUAAAGUAAUUUUGUUCGAUGAGAGCGGUAGAGGAGGAGAGAGAGGAAAUGAAAGGAGGGAAAAAGGAAGCAAUGGCGAGAAAGAGGGAGACGAAACGGGAGGAGAAAAAUAAACGAGAGAAAAAGGAGAUUUAAUCUAAAAAUUCAGACUUAAUCUAAAAAAUCGAAAAAAAAUGGUCUAUGUUUGCAAAAACAUAAAACUGGCGGAAUUUUUAUACAAAUUGGUCUAAAUUUUUUUAAAAAUUUAUAAUUUGGUUGAUGCAAACUGAUACAAAAAUUACUAACAUGGUGAUAUUGAGCAUUUUAAUUGGAUGGUUAUUAUAAUUCAUAAGAAAAAAGGUUUAAUUCCCAAGUAGGAUGGUAAUUAUAAUAUAACCAAAGAGAACUAACCAAUAAGAAACUAUCAUGUUGGCAUAUUUGAAAAUUUUAAAAUUUGUAUAUAGCAAAACAUUUUGAAAUCCCUGAAAGAGCAUGAGGCCUAGUUUGAAAUUUCAAAUUCAAGUCAAAUAUAAAAAUAAAAAUAAAAAUUCAUAUUUCAUAAAAUGGAGAGUCAAUAGAAAGAUUGAACUGAUAUCAUUCAUUCUAAUUUUACCUCUCAUCAGAGCUCUUUUGAUAGUCAUAGAAAAUUAUUUAGUGACUGAAAAUGAAAUAUUAAAGUUUAAAAUUACAUACAGUCAAUAUGAGGUAGCUACCUAUUUUCUACCAUCUUUUAUUAUCUUCUCGCACACCAGGCAGGGUUAAUUUCAUACAGGUUCCUACAAAUAUAGUGAAUGAAAAAUAUAUCCUUACAAAGUUCAACUUUCAUAUGUUCUCACUACAAAAGUUCUGAUGUUUUCAAAUAUGUCUUUUUGAUUUGUUACUGUUAGAGAACUGUUUAUAUUUUCAAUUUUGUCAUCACAAGUAUAUCCCUCCAAAAUCCAUAACAGUAUAAUAUAAAAAAGUAAAAAUAUGAAAAACUAACCAGAGUUACGCAGUUAACCUAUGGUUAACUAAAUUUAUCUAACGGAUUCUAACAGUAAGAAUAUAUUUGAAAACAUCAGAACUUUUGUAGGAACACCAUAUAAAAAUUAAACCUUGUAGGAAUAUAUUUGUCAUUCGCUAUGUUUGCAGGAAUCUGUAUGAAAUUCACCCAUAUAUAAAAGGGAAGAUACAGACAACGAGAUCAAUCUCAAUUGAUCAAACCCAAUCUAUUCUGUCUAUAACAAAUGACAAAAUUAUCAUCUUAUGUAGAGAAUUUGUGUUCACAAAAUUACAAAAAAUCAACUCUCUAUCUUCUAAGAGGAUUUGAGUCCUAUCUUGGUUCCACACUUCUUGGCUUCUACAAUAUUAAUGCCAAUUCCAAUUCCUCAAAUAAAACAAAUAAAAAAAUAGAAAACUAAUCCCAUUCUCUGACACACCCCUCCAAAAAAAAAAUAAAAAUGAUAGGUUUGCAUGUCAAUCUCCUAGCAUUGUAUUAAUGCUACCCAAUAGGCCAACAUUGACAUAUUUAAUUAGAACAACAUUCAACUUACAAUCUAUUGUUAAAUAUGAAGUUAAAUCUAAGAUGCGGAUUCUUCUAGGUCACACUAGGUUGAUUUGACAAUUAAUAUUAUUAAAUAUAAUUUAAAUUAUUUAAGUUUUAUAUAAAUUAAACUUUAUGAUAUCAUAAUUAUUUUUAUAUAAUAAUCAGAGUAUUAUGAAUUAUGCUGGUGGUACACUUAAAACUAGGUUGUAGAUUUUAUAUCCCUAUCUAUUGGAUGAAUAAGGUGUAAAAUUUAUAAUAAAAAAUAGGCAUAUAAGUAGCAUUUAUCAUUAUAAAUUAAAAUUAAUUUCAUACAUAUCCUUCCUCCAAUCUUUAAUUACAUAGAUAUUCCUCUCAAAAUAUAAAUUUAAAAAGAAUAAUUAUCUAUAUACCCCUCAAAAUUUUACAAAUAUCUAAUUUGCCUUAUUUUCUUUUGUGUUUUCUUUUUUUUUUUUUGAGAGAUAGGUAGUACGCUACCUGCUUCGUUUAUUUCAUUUAGAAAUAAAUUUAGCUAAAAAUGUGAAUCAACUAGGAUUCGAACUUAGGUCUCGGAUACCAACCAUCAAGCCCUUUGCCACUUGCUCUAGGGACGGUUGGUUUUUCUUUUGUGUUUUCAAUAUACCAUUCAUAUGUUUCUUUGUUAUUCAAAAAUACCCCCGCAGUUACCACCCGCUAAGUUAUCUCAAAUUAAACGUGAGUUAAAUAUCUAUCAGAGUUAAAAAAAAUAAAAUAUCUCUUUUGUCUCUAACUCAAGGGCAAGUAAAAAUGUUAGUGAUGAUAGAACAUAUAUUUGAAAUGACCAAAAAUUAAAAUACUUCUUUUGCUCCUAACUUAAGGACAAAUAACAAAAGUUGGUAAUAGUAGAAGGUAUAUUUGAAAGGAGUAAAAUAGUAAUUUUAAAAAGAUAAAAACUAUUGCCAACAGUUCACUAACACAGUUUAAUUCUAGAAAUAUAUUUGAAAUAAUUUGAACAUAAAAAAGGUAUUUCUUAUAAGAUUAAUUCAUACAGGUCCCUGCAAAAUAGUAAAUUGUAAAUAUAUUCCUACAAAGUUCAACUUUUAUAUAUUGUUCCUGUAAAAGUUCUGAUGUUUUCAAAUAUGUCCCUCUAGUUAGUUACCAUAUCACUCACAGAUUAUUUAAUAGGAAAAUGUACGAAAAAUUAUCAUAAUAUCCAAACUGGUAAUAAUUUAUUAAAAAACAACAUAACAUUUUUUUUGUUUUGUCCAUCAUCUAUUAUCUAUAUCAUUUUAAUUAACAUAAAUACUAUUUUGUUUUAAAAUAUUAUAAAUACAAUUCAAUUUAUACUAAUCUAAUUGCAACAAACUACACUAUAUAAAUAGUAAAUAAAAAAUCAUAUUAAUUUAGAUAAAGAGAAAAAAAGAUUAACAAAAAAUAUAUAUAAUAUAUUUUUAGUUUCAGCUAAUUUUUUAUUAUGAUUAACAUGAGAACCAUAAGAUAUUGAUAAAAAAAACUUGAGUACGCAAAAAAUACAUUUUAUAAAUUGAAUUAAAGUUAGUUUUUGCUAAAAAAUAAAUUUAUUAGCCUUAUAUAAUACGACACAAUUAUUAUAAUUAGAAAUAGCUAAAAGUAAAUUAGUCUAAAACUCUAAUCAUUGUAAUGGAGGGCAUUUUUGAUAUAAUUCAUUAAUUUAUAAGGGUAAAAAUGAUGUGAACAAUUUUAAAUGAGUAUCCACAUGAUUUAUAACUUUUGAGGGACACGUUUGGAAUUACACUAUAAAUUAUAUAAAAUUUUCAAGCUAUUAAAAUAUUAAGUAAAUGAUGUCAAAAUUUUUGCUUUUGAAAUUAUUCAGAUAAUCUAAAUUACAUUUAACAACGCACAUUAUUCUUUGAAACACAAUACAAAUUAAGACUCCCCUAUUAUAGGCCAUUUUUAAAUUAAUUGCUCAACUUUUAUUUUGUUUCGGUAAAAACGUUCAGAACUUAUCUGAAUUACAAACUAUUUUAAUUUAAUUAUUCAAUCUUUUAAAAUUUAAUUUUACUGACCAAACUUUUGAUUUGUUAGAUUUGAGUUAGUCAACGUCGCUUCGACUUCAAUAUGUAAAUUAAUUAUGUUUUAAUAAAUUUAUAAUUGUGAGAAUUAUAUGAAAUAUAUUCACAAAAGCUGUAAAGAUAAGCUACGCAUUCAAAUUUUGAAAUUACAUAUAUAACAAAUAACUUACUUCUUUUAACUUUUGAUUCAAAAAAAUUAAGUGAAUUUUAAUAAAUUAAAUUAAAAUUUAAAUUAAUAUUAUUAUCUAAUCUAUUAAAUUUAACAAAAUUCUAAUUAUUUUAUAGGCAAUAAAUUAAAAAUAAUUAAUAAUAAUAAAUAGUUAACAGAGUCAUGAGCUGAGAAAACAAAUCAGCCUAAGUCAGAAAUUUAGAAUAUGUGAAUGAAAGAAUAAGAAAAUUGAGAAGCCUAUUUGAAAAAUGGGCUCUAGUUAAUGAGACUAAUUCAUACUUUUCUUCUUUUUUUUUUUUUUUUUUUACUUACAUAAAUUUAUUAAAUAGAAUAAACAGAAAAUGACAUGAACAUAAUUUUUUUUAGGAUAAACUUCAGAUACCACUCCUGUGGUUUCGCACUUUCUCAUUUUAGUACCCUGUAAUUUAAAAUGUAUCAAGUUAGUGUCAUGUGGUUCCAUUUUUAUGUUUUCGUCAGUUCUUCGUUAAUAUUUCGUUAAAUUAUAUAAAAAAAGCUUCAGAUACUCUACCUAGGUUUAUCAAAUAUUCACUUUAGUAUUCUUUAAUUUUAACUUUGUCACUGAUUUAACGAAAAAAUUUAGUAGAAUCGAUAAUAAAAAUAUAAAAAUAAAAUCACAGGAUACUAAAUUGAUAUACUUUAAACCACAGAGUAUUAAAGUGAAAAAGUGUGAAACCAUAUAGGUGGUAUUUGAAGUUUAUUAUUAUUUUUUUUUUAUAUAUAGUUUACUCAUAUAUGAUUACUCACCUACCAGUUAGUGCACUUAAGGUUUUUUUUUUUUUUUUUUAAAGAAAAUUUGUGAUAUUAUCGAAAGUUGCAGCUAAGUAGGCUAGAGCUAGGUGGUUGAAAAAAAUUGAAUUUAAAAAAAAAAAAUGUGCGGUGAAUGUGAUGGCUUGGUGCACCUGGUUCAUUACGUGGUGCGCCCGGUUCACUUAACAGUUUCUUCUUGUAACGCUGAGGCAUAUUAUAUGAUCACCAUAAUGAUCAUCAAUCUACCUUUUUUUUUCAUUAGGUCAUUAAUCUAAUUAUUGAAGCCUUUUGCUGAUUGAUAUAAUUUUUUGGUCAAAGUAAGAUGGUAAGUUUGCUUGUAAAAGAUGUCACGCCACAUAAAUGCACAAAAGAAUAUAUAAAUAAUUAUUUAUUGUAUUGAUUAAUUUUAUUUACUUUUUUAUAUUUUUAGCGUCUUAUUUUAUUUUUUCAUUUCUUCUUUUAUGUUAAAUAUAAAAAUAUUUAAAAUCGCUAUCUUUUAAUUUAAAUUUUUAGAGUACAAUAAUUAUUUUACGUAGUAUUAGAGUAGAAAAUUUUGAGUUUGAGUUACGGCAAACUCCUUAAUGCUUCCGACCAAGAAAACGAAUUAUUCAAAAAACAUAAAAUUUUGUUAACAAAGAAUAAAAAAAUAAACUUUUAAAACAAUUUUACUAAGAGAGAGAAUCAAAAUUCUUAUUUAUUACCAGCAAUGUUAUUUUUGCUACUACACAGUAUAUAUGGAAGAAUCUAUGUUAUGCUAUACUUUAUUAACUUGUUACUUCUCACCAUUAUUCGCAAUCAUUGUCGAUCACCAUUGUUGCUGCUAUAUUGUUACUUGAUGCUCUCCUCAGUAGUAUCGUUGUUAUCGCCGCUGCAAACGUUACUGCUAGUGGUAUCACUAGUACCAGAUACUACUAUACUGCGUAACUCGUCGGCGAAAUUUUGAAUGUUCCGAUCGGACGACCCGCCCUCCGCGACGGCAGCUGCCGCCGCCUCCUUCCACUUGGCGGCCCGCGCCCUCAUCCCCUCCGCCUCCGGCCGCCGCACCCCGACUCCGUAAACGUCCACCAGAAACUUGGCGUUCGUGACCUGAUCCCCCCACUGCGGGAACGCGAUCACCGGCAGCCCUGCCGACAGUGCCUCCAGCGUCGAGUUCCACCCGCAGUGCGUCAGGAAGCACCCGACGGCCGGGUGGCUCAGCACGCGGUCCUGCGGACUCCACCCGACCACGAACCCUCGACGUCCCACAUCCCCCUCGGUUGUUGUCAAACCUUCCAGAAAGUCCUCCGGCAGCAAGCCGCGGCUCUCCUGCCGGACGACCCACAGAAACGGCCGGCCGGAGUCCCGCAAUCCCCAGGCCAUCUCUGCCAUCUCGUCGGCCGUCAGCACGACGACGCUGCCCACCGAGACGUACGCGACAGACUGCCUUUCCUGCGCGUCGAGCCACGACAUGCAGUCGUCGGCGGGCGUUAAGAGGUCCCCGCGGAAGGGGUCGGUGAGCGGGCCGACGGGGGUGAGGGGGCGGAGGGAGGAGAAGGCUGCGAUAGCGUCGUGCUCGAGCUCGUUGAAGGAGUUGGCGAGCAGCCAGCGGGCCUUCCCGAGGUUGCCGAAGCUGGCGAGGAUGGUGUCGGCGAGGAGUUUGUAGGGGUUGGAAGGGUGGAGGAAGGAGGGGACGUCGGCGGCGGAGAGCGGCGGGAGGCCGGGGAGGGAGACGGGGGGGUCGGAGUCGGAGAGAGGGAAGGCUGCCAGGCGGUGGUGGUAGUGGUAGUAGGCCGAGAAGACCGCGCACGACUGCACCCAGAGGACGGCCGCAGGGAUGCCGAGACCUUCCGCGACGUCGAGCGCCCACGGCAGGAACGGGCUGCCGACGACGCAGGUGACGGGGACGGUCUGGCGGCGGAGGAGCGCGGCCAGGGAGGGAGGGCCGGCGGACGCGAGGUGGCGCAUGAGGUCGUCGAGUGCUGCCAGCGGGCCGGACGGCUGGUCGGAGAGGAAGUCGAAGCGGAAGUUCGGAAGGGGAGAAACAUCGGAGGAGGAGGAGAGGAGGCGGGCGCCGAUGUCGGAGGUGGAGGUGAAGGUGACGAGCAGGCCCUUCGCCGCCAGGCGCCGCGCCAGGCGGAGCACCGGGUUCACGUGGCCCUGCCCCGGGAAUGCGAUCAGAAGCACAUGCGGCGAAGUCGCCGCAGCAGCAGACGACGACGACGACGACGACGACAAAGAGUCUUCUCCCAUAUUAUAUAUGCUCGUUAAAAUUAGAGUAGAGUGCAGCGAAAAUUUACAAACUAAAUACGUAGUAGGUCUGUGGGCGUGGUAGAGACGGGGGCAAUAUAAAUGAGAGGGGCGAUGUAGUAGGUGUGUGGGUGUGGUAGAGAUGCGGGCAAUAUAAAUGAGAGGGACGCUGGGGAAAGUGCGUUCGGGCUGAGGGAAAUGGAUAGGAUUGUUAAUGACCAAGCAGUUUUUUUUUUUUAAUUUUUUCCUUUUGUCUUCUGUGAAAGGCAAUGAUGUAUGCAGUGUUUUAUUUGCAAUAACUUUUAUAUAUAUGUAUAUAUAUAUAUUAUUUUUUUUUUUGUUAUAUAGUAUAUUAUAUAGAGCUAGCUGACUAUAUAUCUAUAUCCGAGCUCCGGUAUACGAUUAUAGUAUUUGGUUUUCGAUCUGGUGGAGGCGUUCAGAAUCAACGAUCCACACGUUAAAAACUGGGAGUGCGGGUAGGGGUAUUUGAAAGUUCCAGAAAUAAAAUUUAGGUAGUAGUUUUUCAGCAUAGUUUUACUUUUGAGAGUCGAAACUAUUUCAAAAUUAUGCGAGUGAAUGGGUGGUGGUAGGGUGAUGAGUUUGGAGGGUUUACGGGGUAGAAGAUAUCUAAUUUCUUCGAACUUUGGGAUAGAAAGAUGUAUUUUAAACGGUUGGUGAGUGAGGAUGUCAAGGUGUGACAUUCGUGGACGUUGGAGAUUUAAAGUGCGGUGAGGUAGUGCAGAGAGUGUAGGGAAGAUUACUUUAAUUUCACCGGCCAUUUGAUAUAAGUUGAUUUACUACAUAAACGAGUAUCGAAAAAAACUAAAAAUUUUUAUUCCUAGAAAUUCAUAUACCCUAGAUCAUAUUUAACGGUGUGGGAUCGUUGAUGUUGACGCGUAAGAUCGGAAAACGAAACGACUAUUGAGUACCGGAGCUCGGUACUAUAGAUAGUAUAGGUAACCGAAUUAUAUUAUAGUAUAUAUAUAUAUAUCAUAGUAUAUGAUUUAUAUAGUAUUAUAUAUAGUAUAUAAUAUAUAUAUAUAAUAGGUAUAUAUUAUAUCAAUAUAGUCCGCUAUGGUGCGUUGUAAAAGCCCCAGCACUUGUGCUUGUAAGUUUCUUUACCGUUAAGAUCUACUUCUCGGAAUCAUUUUCAACCAUUAAAUUAAGAUUGAUACUAUUCAGCACACCCACUCUACUCAACCCUGGACGGGGGGCCCACAUCUCCUCACCGCAUAUGCUCUUAAAUCCAAUUGGAUAAAAAUCUACAACGACCAAUAACUUGGUACUUUAAAGUAUGGAGCUGCAUUUAGUAUACAUAUAUAGGUGCGGCUCUAUACUCUUGAAUGAGUAUAGAGCCUCUUGUACUAUAGUUUUUUUACCUUUUAUUUUUCUUUACUCCCUUUUUUUUUAAUUUUUUCCCAAUUUUUUACGUUUUAUAUUAUACUAUCAACCAAACUCACCAACUCAACCCUUAGGUCUCACUAUAUACUUAACCGAAUCACUCUCAUUCUAAUCUGCACAUUUUUUCAUCCUAACUUCCUAAAUUAUAUUAUUACAAUAUUAUCUCUAAUACUCAUAUAUUAUAUUAUCCCCAUCCUAAUAUAUUAUAUACAUAUAUAUAAUAUAUGUUAAUAGUAUUUAUAUAAUAUAUUAUUAUUAUAUAUAUAUGUAGUGUGGUGUGUGUUGUGAGUAUGUUGUGUGAGUAGGGUUAGGGUUGUGUUAUAUGGAAUUUUAUUAUUGUGUGUGUUUUGUUGUAAGGUGGGUCAUGCUGUCUUGUUCUGUCUGAGUAGGUUUGCUGAGGAGGUGCGUUUAAGUGUUGAUUCUUUUGUGGUUAUCUUAGAGUAUGCUUGUUGUGUGUGUGUGUUGUCUAGUGUGUUGAACGUGUGGACUGUGACUAACGGGUACCGCCAUGCUUCAGCCAGGGUGUGGGAGUACAUCUCGAGGUCCGCGAGUGAUCUCGUCGAGUUCAUGUUAUGUUGUGAGGCCCUCGCGGGGGCGGGUAGAGGUAGUUUUUUUAGGUGAUGGUGGUCUUGAGGACGGGGUGGUGUGAGGGGGUGGUGGGUGUUAGGUGAUAUUGUGGGGGGGUUAGUAUAUAUAUAUAUAUAAAAUCAAAAACACCACAUUAAAGAACUAUAUACAAUAAUCAAAAACACCACAUUAAAGAACUAAUAUAGUUUUCUUUUUAAAAAAUUUGGGAAAUUUCAAAUACCAUCCGUAAUUUUACAUUUACUCACUUUAGUAUCUUAUAAUUUACAGUAUAUCAAUUUAAUAUUCUGUGGUUUUAUUUUUCUCUUUUUAUUAUCAAUUUCACUAUUUUUUUUGUUAAAUGAGUGACAAAGUUAAAACUAAAAGGUACUAAAGUGAAUAUUCGAUAAAUUUAAGUGGAAUAUCUGAAGUUUUUUAUAUAUAAUUUGAUAAAAUAUUAACAAAUGAGCUGACGAAAAAAAAAAAAAUGAAACCACGGGACACUAACUUGAUACAUUUUAAACUAAAGGAUACUAAAAUAAGAAACUGCGAAACCAAAAGAGUGGAAUUUGAUGUUUACCCUAUGGAUGCGUUUGGUUCGCAUUAUAAAAGAUUACUAGGAAUGAAAAGAUGUCCGAGAAUUUUAUUCCUAUUCAUUCUAUUACUAAGAAUGUGAAAUUCCUGUAUUUGGUUCGCACGGUCAUAUUAUUUAGCCAUAUUAUUUAUGGUUACAAAAAAUAUACUAUUUAUUUAUUUAUUUAAUUAAUUAAUUUUAGAUAAUGCUAUCAAAAAUUUCAGCAUCUUUUUUUAAAAAAAUGAGAGAGAGUAUAGGUUAGAGAGAGCAUAAUUAAAAAAAUACAAAGAGAAAUAGAGUCGAAAUUAGAGGGAGUGAGAGAGUUGAGAUUUUAGAAAAAGAGGAAGAGAGAAAGCUUAGUUUAGAGAGAGAAAAAUAGUUGAAUUUUAGAGAGAAAGAUAAGUUUAGAGAGAGAUAUGAGAUUAGAGUGUAAAGAAAAAUAAUACCAAUUAGCCGGCGGAUAGGGAGAAAGAAAGAGAUUAGACAUAUUAUGAUUAUUUCAAUCCAUUAAUAUGAGGAUACCCAUCCUCUCUCAAAGGAAUGAGAUUAGUACUUUAGGAUGAAUUUUAUUCCCAAAUAAAUCUAAUAUUACCAAUUAGAUUACUUAGUACCUUUAGUCAAACACCGUCAUAUUUUUUUAUUUCUAUUGGAUUAUUAAAAAUCUUUAAAAGAUAGCGCGAACCAAACGCACUCUAUAAAUUUUGUAUGAGUUACGUUUGUAUAUACUAACUGAUAUUAAAUACUGUAUAUUAAAUACUGUAUAUAAUAGUUAGUUGUUGUUGUCUAAGUAAAGCGAUAAAGCAAUUUAAAAAAGAAAAAAACACCUUGGAAUCUACAAAUUUUAUUUGAAUUUUUAUAAAAAUAAUAUCAAAAACUGUCCUGAUUAUUAAUUAGAAAAAGGGCAUUGAAAAAAGUGGAUGGAUAUAUUAUUAUUUGAUUUUAAAUAUGAGUUUAUUACUGAUCUAAUGCUAGCUACCUUCCUAGCGAAAAAUUCUAGAAUGCAACGGGUAUAUUAGUGACGUGGCGUAACAAAUCAAUCAAAUUAAUUCUUUUAAGAAUAUAUGUCCCAUCAUGAUUGUAAAAAAAUAUUUUUAUUAUACUUUUGUUUGGAAAAAAAGAAUAUGGUUGACUUAUUAUUAAUGACGUUGUGCAAGUGUGAUAGUGUAGAAUUCCUCCUUCCAGGUUUACCGAAACUGAACAGAGCCGUGUCAUGGAGGGCAAGAAUAUUUUAUUGGAAAAAAUGUACAAUCUGCAAACGUCCGGACACAGCUGAUCCGUGCACAAAUGGGUCUGUGGUUUCGAGAAGCGAAAAACGUGGGGCGGGGAAAAGCACUCACAGGAAUAUACUGUUUGUCUACUCUGAAUAACAUUUUUCCAUUUUGGACUCUCAAUUAGCACGUAUCUAUUUACUAUAUACUAAAGUAAAAUUUUUUAAAUAAUACUAUCACGUGACUUUUUAUAUAUUUAUCAUAUAUCAAACUCAAAUAUAAAAUAGCAAUUUUAUUAGAAAAUACUAUUAAAUCAAAUUAAAUCAAAUUAUAGUAAUUAACAAAUUAUACCAAUUAAAUAUAAUCAUAUAUACAAUUAGGAAACACUAUUAAAUCAAAUUAAAUCAAAUUAUACCAAUUAAAUAUAAUUAUAUAGAGCAGGGCUGCUGUGCUCUUAGGAGCACAUAGGCCUCCGUGCUCCUGAGCUAUUUUCGAUGAUGAAAUUUUCGAAUCGACGAUCGGCUCCGUUAGACUUGAUCUAGCACAUUUGAAGUUUCUAGAAAAUAAUUUUUGCGAUUUUUUGAUAUCAUUUACCUAGUGAUCGAAAGGAUUCAAAAUCCAUAGUUUUUAAUGAUUGAUAUCUGCCGUUUUCAAGUUUAACGGUGUAGAAGUAUUCAAAUUAGAUGAAAUUUUGAUACAAAAUUCUUUAUACUAUCUACAACAAGAUCAAUAUUUCUGAUCGAAAAUUGUAGUGCUAUAUCACCACUUUUUAUAGGAUUUUUAUUUUCAGCCGUUAAAAAUUAUUGAUUUUGAAUCCUUUCGAUUGCAAGGUAAAUAAUAUCGAAAAAUCGCAAAAAUUAUUUUCUAGAAACUUCAAAUACACUAGAUCAAGUUUAACGGAGCCGGUCGUCGAUUCGGAAACUCCAUCAUCGAAAACGGCUCAGGAGCAUGGAGGCCUCCGUGCUUCUUAGAGCACAGCAGCCCUGCUCUAAUUAUAUAUACAAUUAGAAAACACUAUUAAAUCAAAUUAAAUCAAAUUAUAUCAAUUAAAUAUAAUUAUAUAUAUAAUUAGAAAAUACUAUUAAAUCAAAUUAAAUCAAAUUAUACCAAUUAAAUUAAGUGUCUAUUAAAAGAAUUACGAUUCUCAUCUCUUUUUAGAGGAUGCACUGUUUUUGGGAACCCAUUGUUGUGCCAUAAGUCAAGUUUUUGCUAUCUUCAACAAGAAGUACUGCAUGAAAUUUCUUUUCGAGUUUUUUUUCAUUGUUUCUUAAUAUUCUCUAUGUGCCAUGCACCUAAUUAUAAAUAUUGCAUAUCACUUCUCUACUAUCACUUUUUCUGUAAUUUUCACUUCGUUUUAAUAAUAUUCGGUACAUUUCAGUUAAGUGGCUAUUGAGCAGUUUUUCUUAAUUCUUAGAUGUUGAUGCUUGAAAAUAGAACAUAUUGUUUUCAUUUUAUUAUUUAAAUACGAAACAAGUAUUAAUUUUUUUUUUUUCUGGAUGUCUUAUUGUUCUCAGGAUAUGUCACUUGAGUUUGAUUUUAUAAGUGACAUCACUCCUCUUGGAGACAAAUGGAAGAUCAAAGUUAGAGUGAUUUGUCUGUAUACUAUGCCUGAAUUUCAUCGUCCAGUGAUGGUGAAUAGUCUAGACUUAGUUCUUUCUGAUCAAAAUGUAAGAUACGACUGUUAUUGAAGCAGGUACUUUCAUCUUCAUGCAACAAAGUUUUUUUUUCCUUCAUAUUUUCUUGAAGACCAACAUCUAUAUAUAUUUGAAUCUUGGAAGUUGGUAUGUCUCUCAUAUACGUAUGCUUACUCUAAUUUGUGUCAAACAUGAAAGUUUAGUUGAUCUGAUUAUAUGAUUAAAUAUUAAUGUCAUUUGUAAUUUUUCACAUCAAUUUGAGUUCUCAUUUUGUUUUGUACAUCAAUAUGAAAAUGUAAAUUAUUUUGUACACCAAUUCAUAGAUAAUAGAACAGGGUUGAAUUUUUUAUCUUUACCUGAGUAUUUAUUUUGAUCCAUAAUUUUGUUUUUCUAGCUUUUAUACUUUAAUAUGUACUAUAAUUAAGAUUGAUAGUAUAUUUCUUUAUUUGUUAAAAAAAUAUAAUAUUAAUUAUAAUGUUUUUCUUUUAUCAUCACAUAAUAACUUUUGUUAUUUUAUAUUAGGGUUAUUUGCAUACACGUCGCUGCAAACAUAGUAAAUUGUAGAAAUAUUCCUGCAAAACGAAAAUUUCAUAAGUUGUCCCUACAAAAAUCAUAAGUUAUGCAGAUUUGUCUCUGCUGUUAGAGUCUGUUAGAGAAAUUUAGUUAACCACAGUUAAACUACUUAACCACGACUAGUUAAUAGUGUGAAUUUACGGUUCUACCCUUCUUCCUCAUCGUUCUCUUCCUUUUCCCUCUUCUUCAUCGCCGGCGACGAGAUGCGGCGACGGCGGCGACGUCGGCGAACCCUCUCCCUCUUCCUCUUCCCUCUUCUUCUUCCUCUCCCUCUUCCUCUUUCCUCUUCCUUUUCCCCUUCCUUCUUCCUCUCCCUCUUCCUCUUCCCUCUUCUUCGUCGCCGGCGAGGGAGAAGAUGCGGCGGCGGCGGCGGCGGCGAACCCUCUCCCUCUUCCUCUUCCUCUUCCUCUCCCUCUUUCUCUUCGCCCUUCUUCUUCCUCUCCUUUUUUCUCUUCCCUCUUCCUCAUCGCCGGCGAGGGAGGAGGUGAUUCGGCGAAGGCUGUGGCGGGGGCAAACCCUCUCCCUCUUCCUCUUCCUCUUCCUCUUCCCUCUUCCUUUCCUUCUUCCUCUUCCCACUUCUUCUUCCUCUCCCUCUUUCUCUUCCUUCCUCUUUGUCGCUGGCGAACCCGACCCCGCGUCGCCGCCGUUGUCCGCUCUGACGGCCCGAAGAGGAAGAGAAAGAGAAGGGGAAGAGGAUACUUUUGGAGGGAUAUAUUUGUGAGGGCAAAACAGUCUUUCACAAGAAAACUAUUAAAAAAUAAACAGUUCACUAACGGAAUUUAACGAAAGGGACAUAUCUGCAUAACUUAGGACUUUUGCAGGGACAACUUAUGGAAUUUCUGUUUUGUAGAGAUAUUUCUGUAAUUCACUAUAUUUGCAGGGACAUGUAUGCAAAUAACCCUUUAUAUUAUUAUGUUAGUCGUGCAUCGCACGGGUCAAAUACUAGUGGAUUAUAAUUAUUAUAGCUUAUAUAUAGAAUUAUGCUCAUAUAUUAUCGAUAGUAUCAAUCGCUUGAUGUUAUCAAUUUUUCAACCGUUGAAUAAAAGAAUGUUCUGAUUAGGAUGAUAGUGGUCUCUUAGAGUUGAUUGGGUGGUUGGUUGAAUAGUAUAAUUUAACGGAUAAAAAUGACCAAAGAGUAGAUAUAGCGCCAGAAAACUCGAUAGUACCAAAAACUUUGUACUAUCGAUAGUAUAAUAGCCGGACUCUCUCUCUCUCUCUAUAUAUAGAGAGAAAGAGAGAGAGAAAGUUGAGUUGGAAUACUAUUAAUAGUAUUUUAGCUCUUUUGCUAUCAAUUUUCUAGCCGUUAGAUCUACACUUUAAUAAAUUCCACCCGUUAGAUCAUACUAUUCAACCAACCACCCAAUCAACCCUAGAACAUCACUAUCAUCCUAAGCCUAUAAUUAUUGAUCCAAGGUUAAAAACUAUAUAGUAAAAGAGCUCAAAUACAUUAAUAGUAUUCCAGUCCAAUUAUAUACAUAUCUAUAUAGAGCUAGUCUCCUAUACUAUCUAAAGUAGCGGAGCUUCAGUACUAUAGUCUCGUUUUCGAUCUUAGGGUGUUCAAAUCAACGAUCCACAUCGUUAAAACUGAUCUAGUGUAUUUAAAGUCUUUAGAAAUAAAAUUUUAUAUUUUUUCGACAUAGUUUACUUUAUGAUCAAACCAUUUCAAAAUUGUCAAUUUUCAAUGGCUAUUAUGGCGAGUUUGGAGUUUAACGGCAUAGAAGAAUCUAAAUUUCUUCAAAUUUUGAUAAAAAUACUUUAAACUAUCUAGAUUAAGGUUAACAUUCUUGAUCUUGAAUUUAAAAAUCCUAUACUCAAAUUUUAAAGAUUAUUCAAUUUUCGCUAUCCAUUUUGACAUAAUUUAUUUACUAAGUAAACGAUGUCGAAAAAAACUAAAAUUUUAUUUCUAAGAACUUCAUAUACUCUAGAUCAUAUUUAACAGUGUGGAUCAUUAAUUUGAACACCCAAAGAUCGAAAACAAGACUAUAGUACCGGAGCUCCGGUACUAUAGAUAGUAUAAUAGCCUAAUUCUAUAUAUAUAUAUAUAUAUAUAUAUAGAGAGAGAGAGAGAGAGAGAGAGAGAGAGAGUCCGGCUACUAUCGAUAUACUAUCGAUAGUACCAAAUUCUUAGUACUAUUGAGUUUUCUGCUGUUACAUCUACCUUUUGAUUAUUUCCAUCCGGUAAAUUAUACUAUUCAACCAACCAAUCACUCAACCUAGGGGACCACUAUCGAUAUUAUAGUAGUAUAAUUCUAUAUAUAAAUAUAUAUAGAGAGAGAGAAAGAGAGUUCGAUUAUAAUGCUUUUAAAAGCAGCAAGUACUUAGUACUUGUAAAUUUUCUACCAUUAAAUCUAUUCUUUUACCAUUUUCACCUGUUAGAUCAUACUAUUCAACCAACCACCCACUCAUCCCUAAAGGACCACUAUUAUCCUAACCGCACUUCCCUUCAUCCAAGGGCAGAAGAUGUAAUGGUACAAAGAGUUUGGUGUUAUUAAUAGUAUAGUAACCUAAUUCUAUAUAUAUAUAAAAAAUCAUAUGGAACAAUGACCCGAAAAUGUUAUUGAGUCAAGGCUCGCUAGCUCUACCAAUGAGUCAACCACUUGUUAAACCAAUGACAUCAUCAUGAUGUUAUAAAUAUUUUAAUAAUUAUUUUUAAUUUUGUUAUAUAUAAGAUAAUACAUAUAUUAUUAUUUUAGCUUCAUAAAAUAUUGAUUUCUAGACCAAAUUAAAUGGGUAUAAGUUUUUUAAUUUCAAUUUUUAUAAAACCUAUAUAUGCUAAAAGAAAAUGAAAUUAGUUAAGUUGAAUUUAAGCGGUUGGAUUUUAAUAUGACUUAAUUAAAAAAUUCUGGCCGGUUUAAUUAAAACCAAAUCCAUUCACAUGUAUCGUCUGUUCGAACAGUUCAAAGCAAUUUUUUUGGCUUAUAGAUUGGAUCAUAAUCAAACCGUUCGAACCAAUCAGUUCAACCUAAUUUUAAAUUAUCGGUAAAAAUAGUAGUAGCUGCCGACAGGAGAAGUUAUUAGAAUAAUACACAUCUAUUACACCAAAACUCUAUCUUUCUCUAACCUGUCGAUAUCAAAGUAUGAGGAAGUCCACUGUACAGCGGUUAAUUUCAUACAGAUCCCUACAAAUAUAGUAAAUUAUAAAUAUAUCUUUAUAAAAUUUAACUUUCAUAUGUUGUUCCUACAAAAGUCUUAAUAUUUUUAAAUAUAUCUCUCUGGUUCGUUACUGUUAAAGUACUAUCUAUUUUAUAAGUGAAAUGACCUUUUUGCUUUGCCAUUACAAAUAUAUCUCUCUAAAAGUUCCAACUGUUAAUUGAAAAGCGAUAAAAAAGAUCAAUUCACCUCAUUAACUAACUAAAGUUAAGUAUUUAAUCUAUAAUUAACUAAAAUUUUCUAACGUAUUCUAACAGCAAUGAAUAUAUUUUAAAAUAUCAAUAUUUUUACAAGAACAGUAUAUAAAACUUGAACUUUAUAAAAACAUAUUUAUAAUUUACGAUAUUUAUAGAGCGAUCUGUAUAUAAUUAUACCUACAAUUUAACUAGUCAGAGACACCGCAUUAUCACCCCUGUAUUUUGUAGGCUUUCUCUUUUUUUUUAGUGAGGUAUCGACAUCGCAAUGAGUGAUGCAGUGACGUAAUCACAACUUUUGCCACGUACCCAACACGGCGUUUUCUUUUUCUUUACUUUAUUUUUUUGUCGCUGCAGGAGGAUCUUGACGAGGUUCGUGAGGACUCGGAGGCCGCCAUUUGCGUUCGCUUCUAUUCAUUUAAAACUUAUUUAUUUAUUUAUUUAUUUAUUUUACUAUUCAGUCACCAUUAUUUUAAUUGGACUUUUGAGUCUUGCGUUUUUAUCUUUUCCUCUGCUUUAUUAAUUUGUCACCUCACUUAGCUUUUGCCGCUUUGUUUCGUUCUUUUAUUAGGCGAUCGGUCCGAUGGAGAUACGUCGUACGGUAGUGAUGCCAAAACGGAUAGAUUUUUUUAUCACACAGGUUGGAACUAAAACCGAAAAGAUUUAGUUCGUCGAUGCGAAAAUACCAAAAAAGAUUCGAAAAAGAGAAAAGAAAAAUAAAACACACAAUAUUUACGUGGUUCGGCCAACGGUCUAUGUCCACGAGCGAAGACGGAGCGGAAAUCUUCAUUAGAAUCAAAAUAGUGUACAAAAUACGCCUCUCUCAUAAAACCCUAAUUCCAAAAAAUACACCCAUAUUUUCUCUCUCAUCUUCCGCAAUAAAUCAACAGCAGAAAGAGUAUAUUUAUAAUAGUGACUAAAUCCUAAUACGAUUAGAAAUACAAAUCCACUAAAAUUAGAAAUAUCUCGAUAAAUUAGGCACAAUCUAAACUUAACUUAAUGGGAUAAUUGAAACAGAAUAGGGUUAGAAGACCUUGCGGUACUAGAAUUUGAGACAUAUUUAACAGCACAAAAAUUCGGUGGAGACUGUUCCUAAUAAUAGAGCAUGUCAACGAGCCGAACAGCAGAGAGCUGAAAAUAUAUCGUAUUCGACUCAUUUGUUAUAAUAAAUGAACUGAGCACGAUCUAAUUCAUUAAAAUAUAUCGUUAGUAAAUUCUAUUCUUAGUACAAUAGAAUUAGAUUAAAAAGACAUAUUUUUAAGAUAUUUUUGUGUAAGUAUUUUAUUUAUGUCAAAAAAUUUUAAAAAAAAUUUAUUAACGCCUAAAUAUAAAAUCCAAUCCAAUCAAAAAUAAAAAGUUACACUACUCAACCAACUCCACACAGCCCAUUCGGUCCAAUUACAAAUAAAAAAGAAAAAAAAAAUUGAUCAUCAUUUCCCGCUCUCCUCCUCAGCCGCAGCCGACGAGAUAGGACUCCGGCGGCUGGAGUUCAGCCGCAAGCAUCUCAUAUGCACCGUGAAAAAUUACGAUCGUCAAGUAUCCCUCCGCCACAUAUCGCUGGAAGAGUGGGUGCCAAUAUUAAAGCGGCCCUAUAUAUAGUGACCCUACAUAUAGCAACACUUAUAAAAAGUAUCGGUAAUUUAGCCAGCAGUAUUUUUUUUUAUCUGUACCGAUAUUUAAAAAUAUCGCUAUACACCAUUUUUAUUGUAGUGUCUGAUCGCCGACAUAUCAUAUUUAAUGGGUUUAAUAAACGAGUUAAAAUAUUCAAUUGAAAAAAUUCAGCUCUGAUUGCCCUACUACCGGGUUGAAAAGUUAGAAAAAAUAAUUUAAAAAAUUAGAUUCUUAAUCUAAUAAAUAAAAUUCACAAAAUAGAGGCGAUUUAUAUUUGGAUUAGCUUAAAAUUUAAAUAGUAAAUAAUUGUAAUAUAAAUGCACAUAUAAGUAAUCGUCUUUAUUGACUUUUGAUCUAACCACAAAAAGAGAAUUCACUGACUAAAAUUUAGAAGGACCUAUACCUUGGUGCCACAAAAGCAUUCGAGGUUAGCCAUAUAUGUAUAGGAUCCGGCUAGGAUGUUUCUAAUAGCACCAAACAUCUAGUGCUACUAAAUUUUUUACUGUUUAAUUUAUCUUUUUAAUUAUUUUUAUUCGUUAAAUUAUACUAUUGAACUAGCCACUGACUCAACUCUAGAGAACCGUUAUUAUUCUAAUCGUACAUCCCUUCAUCCAAGAGCCGAAUAUCUAAUAGCACCUAUGACUUGGUGCUAUUAGAAGCAUUCCAGUCUAAUUCUAUAUAUGUGUGUGUUUGCGCUCAUUCCAGUAUAUCGAGCCGAACACAAGUGAGCUAAUUAUAACUCGUGUUUAACUCGUUAAGAUUUCGAACUAAAAAUUUAGCUCGUAUUCAACGCAUUUAUUAAACAAUCGAUCAAUCUUGAGCUCAUUCCGAAUCGAGCAAGAGUUAGCUCAUGAAGACAAGCUCGAUUGACAACCCGGUUCCUAAAAUAGGACAGUUUCCUCUACCAUUCAUCACAUAAAUCGUCUCAAAUCUUAAUUAAAUAGUAAUAUUUUUGUUAGAGCCAAUAAUAAAAUGCCAAAUGGCAUAUUGGUGCACAGUUCAGCCAGAACCUUCAAAGAUCAAGAUUAAAUGGGUUUCGUGGUGCACCAGGAGUAAUGGCAGAUUAAUAGCAUAACCACAGGGUAUAACUGCAAGCGGUUAUGUGCAGUUUUGAUCGGCUUGUAAUGGCCCGCAAAAAUAGAAAAUUGACCGAUCAUGAAGCAAUAACUAAACAAUAAGGGUGGACUAUAAAUAGGCAAAUAAUGCCAAAAAAGGAGGUUUUUUUUUUUUAGAAUAGAAGACCAUUUUUAUUUCUCUACAUUUUCUUUACAUUUUCUAGGAAUAGUCUACUUGUAAUCUUUUCCUUUUUCGCAUCUACUGUUUUUCGUAGGAAUAGUUCUAAGUCAGAUUUUCGGAGUCUGUAUACCCUAAAGGCACACUCGCGUUUGUACAAAUUCAUAGAUUUAAUUUCAAUAUAUAAAGACAUUCGGCUCUUUCAACCGAUCAAUUACUAUGCAUUUCAUCCAUUCGGCUCAUUCAGCCGAACUUGUUCUACAGUAAGGAUUUUCGAACUCAGCUGAUCCGAUCGCAAAUCAGCAGAAUCGCCUGAUCCGUCGGAGGGCGCAAGCUUCGACCUCGAGGGUCAUCAUGUGAAGCCGGAUUUAAUUGUCGCACGUUUUCCUAGGAAGGCUUUUGACCAGGUCAACGACUGAGAAAUUCAGCUCAUAGCAAUUUUAAAAACUCAUAUCAAAUAGCGACUCGUAAAUAUUACUGGGUUAAGAGUCAAGGGCCGGUGACAUCGGCGUAACAUCAUAAAUAUUUAAUUUUAUUUUUAAUUUUAUUAUAUAGAAAAAUAUUCAUAGAUUAUUAUUCUAAUAUUGUACUUAAUUAAACAAAUACUAAUUUUUAUAACAAAUUUUGUAGCAUAAAUUUUUAAGUUUUAUUUUUUGUAAGACUAAUCUAUGCUAAUAGAAAGUAAGAUUAGCGAAGCAUAUUUUAAGCCGCUGAUUUUUAAUAUGACUUGAUACAAAAUCGAAUCUGGCCAUUUAAUUUUUUUAAAUGUUAAAUUAAACUAUUAAUAAAUAUUAGCUAUUAAAAUAGAUAUCUAAAAAAAUAUAUUUAUAUUUUAAUAUAUAAAAUAUGUUUUUACAUAGGUUUAGUUUUGGGUUCCGAUUUGGAUUCAGUACAACUAAAGAUAAAAAUUAUAACGCUUUAUUUUUUCCCAUAUUUGAAAUCAGAUUCGGAUUCAGUUAUAAUUUCGAACAUCCAUAUCCGUUAACAUCCGUAACUGUACAUAUUAUUGAAAUACUUUAUUUUCUUUUAAUAUUUUGACCUAGAAAUAGUUAAUAGUCACAAAGUUGAUUAAUUAGAAAACAUUAUCAUGAGGAAUUUUUUAUUUAUGUGGAACUUUUUUUUAUUGUACUAGUAAUGCUUAUGAAUACAACACGUAUAGAUCAUAAGUACAUCAAUAUGUAACGCAUUAGUAUAACUGCACAUCAUUAUUUUUUUUUAAGUCAUAUGGUGUAUAAAAAGCGUAUUAAUAGUGUGUAAAAUGUAAUAUGGUGUGUUAAAAAUGUAAAAUUUUCUGAUUUUAGCCAAAUAAAUUCGAGAGAUUUUGCCAAGUUAAUUUAAUAAUUUGGCCAAGUUUAAUAUUUUAAACUCAUAAAACUAUAAAAUAUUACAAAAAUUUUAACUUAGUUAACUAGAAAUGUAGAAGUCAAAAGAGGUGUAAAUACAGCCAGAAAAAAAAAAAAGAAAAAAAGAAAAAAAAAGAAAGAAAAGUUGAAGUGUCUAUCUCAGAAUCACCUAUAGCUUAGGGGGUCUCCAUAUAAUUUUACUUAACAAAUCUCAUUUUAUUAUUCGUUUGGUUCGGGUUAUAAGAACUAGUUAUUUUUGGGAUAGAUAUAAGUUCAGGUGUAAGCCGAAAAUAGAUCAAUUUUACAUUUGAAUGAAAAUUGAGUUAUUUCUGGGAAUAAAAAAAAAUAGCGUUUGAAUAAAUAAGAUAGAAUAAGAAGAAUAAUGAGCAGUUAUAAAUAGAAAAUAAACUCCUGUUGGCCACCUCGAUCCUUGGGGUCACUUUUUUCACCCCCAAUCCACUAGGAGUGCUGGGUGGCAGCCGGGGUGGGCUAUCUUUUGGGCUGUUUAGUGGGCCCCCACCGAGUAUCCGAGCCGGGCCCGCUUCGUUAUUUUUUUGUCAGGCCUUGAGAGCAAUCUUGAGUGCACCAUUGGCCCUUGAGUAGGGUUUCCUUUUCUCUUGUGACAGUUGGGCCUUUUCGGUCACACCUGCAGGGAAGGAUUCAACGGACGGGUGCCGCAUUACAGCAGAUUCUUAUUUUCUUCAGCAACUGCCACUCGGAGUUGUGGGAGCAGCCGCGACCAACUGCACUUUGCUCCCCUCUACUGAUCUGAUUGCUGGGGACUCGGUCUUUUCAGAUGCCUUCGGAUUUCAAUCGCCUUCCACCCCUGAUCUUCUGGUUAGCCCAAACUUUGAUCCGGUUCUGAGUGGGAUCCCAGCGUGUGUGUCUGAGCCGCAGAUACCGGGGGCAAUAGAGCCAGUGCCGUCAGGUAGUUCAAGAGCCUCUUCCCCAGCGAUGGUGCCAAGAACCUGUAAGCGACUCGCUGCAUACCGCAAGCGAUCAAUCCUACACAAGGCAAUGGAAAGGAAGAGCAUUCAGCGUGAGGGGGUUCAGGAGGUUGGGCGCAGAACUCCUGUGGAGAAGAUCACCUACAAGAGUCACCUCUGCGGGGUGGAUUUAGGAGAGAACGAGGCUAAGACCUUCUCCGCUUUUCUGAACGAAUGCAAAUAGGCAGGACGAGUAGGGUUUCUGUAGACUCUUUUUUUGGGUUUUGGUGGUGAGAGUCUAUCUGUUUUUUAUAUGUUUCGCGUCUGUAGCUGGAAUGUUAGGGGGCUCAACGACCCCUCUAAACGGUGUGCCGUUAGGGCCGUAGUGUCUAAACUUCAUAAUGCAGUAGUUUGUAUCCAGGAGUCGAAAGUUGAUCAUGUUUCGAGUUCCUUCCUUAGUAGUUUCGGGGGACCUUUGUUAAACAAAUGUGUUUUUCUUGAAGCCAACGGUGCCUCUGGGGGGAUUAUUACGAGUUGGAGUUCCCGUUUUUUCACUUGCUUGGAGGUCAUCGUAAGGACAUACUCCAUUACUACUCUGCUUUCCUCCACCACGGGCGGGUCUAAGUUUUUUCUCACGAACGUCUACGGACCCGCCUCUUGGGACGGCAAGGAAGAUUUCUUCGCCGAAUUGGUUCAGCUGAAAGAUCAUUGCGUGGGCAAGUGGAUCAUCUGCGGCGAUUUUAACUGUACGAGAGGUCAAGAGGAGCGAAGGGGAAAACUUUGGAGCACCAAAGCCACAAACUUAUUCAACGAGCUGAUCAGAGAGCUUGCCUUGAUUGACCCACCGAUGUCCAACCAAUCCUUCACUUGGUCCAACAUGCAAGCACUUCCAACGUGUACGCGGCUCGAUCGUUUCCUUGUCUCAACUGAAUGGGAUCAUGAGUUCCCCCUCUCCAGAGUUGAAGCACUUCCUCGAAUUACUUCAGACCAUUGCCCUAUCUUGCUAACUGUGGAAAAUUCUGCUAGGGUGAAUCACACGAUCUUCCGGUUCGAGGAGGCUUGGUUGAACCAUGAGGGUUUUACCUCUAAACUUCCGGAUUGGUGGAGGGAGGUUCCACUGAACACGCGGAAUACCCAGAAUAAAUCGGCAGUUUUAACCUUCACAGCGAAGCUGAGACACUGUCGCAUUAGGAUCAAGGAGUGGUGUGCUAAUGAAUUCUACAGUAUUAGAGGAGUUAAAAACCACCUAAUGGAAGAAAUACAGAAGAUUGAUAAAGCUGAGGAACUGGGUGAUUUUUCGAACAACUUAUGCUCUAUGAGAGCGGAACUUAAGGCUAAUCUAGGAAAAGUCUUGGACGACGAAGCUACACUUUGGAGAUCCCGGGCCAAACAGCACUGGCUGCGAGAGGGGGACAGUAAUACUAAGUUCUUCCACGCUGUAGCUAACGGCAGACGCAGAGCUAACUGGAUUGGCACGAUCGUCGAUAACGGUUCCACUUACCAAGCUGAAGAGGAUAAACGAAAUUAUUUUUACCAAUCCUUCAAGUCACUGUUCACUCCUAAGGUAUCGGCCCCACCUUCCUUUGGAAACUGGGACAGGUUAUUCCAAUCCGAUAGCAUUGCGACUCCUGAUUUAGCAAGGUUAUCCGAUCCCUUCAAUUUAGAGGAAAUCAAGAAAGCCGUUUUUCAACUGGGAAGCGACAAGGCGCCGGGACCGGAUGGUUUCCCUUUGAAGUUCUACCAAACGUUUUGGGACACUGUUAAGGAUGAUAUUUUGAGUAUCUUUCAGGAAAUGUACGAGGGAAGGCUCUCCACGGAUGCCAUCGACUACUCUUUCAUUUGCCUUAUUCCUAAGAACGAGGGGGCAGUGCGAGCAAAUGACUUUAGACCCAUAAGCUUGUUAAACGGGAUCCAAAAAAUUUUAUCUAAGGUUUUGACCAAUAGGCUAGACCAGGUUAUGAAGGAUCUGAUAUCCCCGUCUCAGUCUGCUUUCCUGAAAGGCAGGAACAUUACCGACGCUUUUGCAUCAGUUUCCGAACUUAUUGGAUGGGGUAGCAAAUUGUCCGUCGAAGGUGUCGGGAUAAAGGUUGAUUUUGAAAAGGCCUACGACAGGAUUUAUUGGCCAUUUCUUUUCCAAAUUCUACGGUGGUGGGGUUUCAAUGACAAGUGGUGUGAAUGGAUCGAAUCUUGCGUGUGCCACGCGAAAGUGGCAGUACUUGUUAACGGAGAGCCGACCAAAUGGAUAAAGACGAAGAGAGGCGUAAGACAAGGGGAUCCGAUUUCACCUUAUCUAUUCUUACUGGUGGCUGAGUGCCUGGCUCGUUUGACCAAUGAGGCGGCCUCUAACAGUCUCAUUAAAGGCCUCGGCCCGUCCGAGGGAUGUAGGGUCACUCUCACUCAAUUUGCGGACGAUACCUUUUUCUUCUGCGAAGCAAAAAGCAGGUACUUGAAAAAUCUCAGGUUUAUUUGGCGCCUCUUCGAGUGGGCCUCGGGAAUGAAAAUCAACAGGAAGAAGACGGAGCUUUACUAUCUGGGACAGGAGGUCGGUAAAGGAGCCAGAUUAGCAAACAUUUUGGAAUGCAGAGUGGGCACCCUCCCAACCAAUUAUUUGGGUCUACCGCUCUCUCCCAGAUCACCAUCCAAGGAGGCAUGGAUGGGGAUCAUACAAAAGAUACACCGCAGAAUAGAGGGCUGGCAGGCUAAACUACUAUCUAGGGGGGGUAGACUUAUCUUAGUUAACGCGGUACUAACCAACAUACCCCUAUACUCUCUUUCCGUGUUCAAGGCCCCCGCGUGGGUGAUUAAGCACAUCGAAGCCCUUAGAAGGGACUUCUUCUGGAAUGGUGGGCGCAGCACCCCGGGCAAAGGAUGCCUAGUGGCUUGGAAAAACGUUUGUAAGUCCAAAAAGGAAGGCGGGUUAGGUAUCUUGGAUGUUGCGACCAUGAAUCAAGCGUUAUUGACUAAAUGGUGGUGGAAAUUCCACAUUGCACCUGAACUACAGUGGAACAAGUUAAUCCGGGUUCUGUACUAUCGUAGAAGAAAACCACUGAGGGAAGGCAGAUACUUUAGACCUUUCUCUUGUUGGUGGAAAGGUAUCCUUACUUGCAGCACCAUCUUUAAAUGGGGUGCAACCUUUGAACUAGGAAACGGUAAAGCCAUCGACUUCUGGCAGGACAGGUGGUGUGGGGAGAAAACUUUGAACCUUCUGUUCCCAGAAGCUCAUCUCACAACUGAGGGGAAAAACUACAGAGUUAGCGACUAUUUCACGAGGGGUAGUUGGAAUUGGACCAAGAUACUGGGUGCCGAAGUGGGCCGUUUGCAAGGGCUGAUACCGAACCUCUCGGAGCUAGUGGAAAGGGUCUCCAACUUCUCUGUCGGACAUAGACCUGAUAAGAUCCUUUGGCGGUGGAGUUCAGACGGACAGUUUUCGGUCAAAUCGACUUAUUUGGCUUUGACGGACGGCGGGGUGAGAGACGCACGCGCCGCCACCAUCUGGAGUCUCAAAAUCCCCCUUAAAGUAAAAGUCUUUAUCUGGUUGGUCCUUAAGAAAAGAAUCCUGACACGCGAUAGACUUGCUAAGAGAUGGUGGAUCGAUGACCCCACCUGCGUGCUUUGCGGGUCGGACGAGGAAUCAGUGGACCAUCUGUUUACCCACUGUGUAUUCUGCAAAUUCAUCUUGGUGUUAGGGGACGACGAGAUCCAGGCCCAAGACCUGGGGGAUGAGGUGAAUCUUGUUUGGGAUAGGUGGACUGGCAAGAAAGACCCUCUUAAUAAGCGUACCAGACUUGCUGAACUAGCGGGAUGCUGGUGGGUGAUCUGGAAGGUCAGAAACGAUGUAAUAUUUCGGAAUAUUCCCCCUAACCCGGGGAUAGCGGUCCAUAGAUUCAAACUGCUUGUGAAGGAGUGGGAGCUUCUCCUCCGGUCAUAAUUUGUUUUUUUUUUUUUUUUUUUUCUCUCUCUGGGGCCGGGUUGCCUCACAUUUGUAGCUUAGUUCAUAUGAUCAAUGAAUGAAGCGGGUAGCAUGCUACCUCUUUCUCAAAAAAAAAAACAAACACAUCGACUACAUAGAUUAACAUUGUUUAAUUAGUUAUCAUGCCUUAAAGCAGACGCAAAUAAAAGAUCAACUAUACGGAGUUUUUACUACUAGUCUCGUAUGUAUUACUUCACUGGGGAUCAAUAAUCCAGUCCAAUGGAUCAUUUGUUUAUAGUCAGUUUUGCUAAAAAAAGACUUAGGUUUGUUAUCACAUAUAUAUAUAACUAGCAACUAACCCGUGCAAUGCACGGAUUUUAAAUUUAUCUUUUAAUUACAAUUUUUAUAUAAUAUAUAUUAAUUUUUACAUAUUAANUUAAAAUUUAAAUAUAUAUCUUUAAAAAUUAAAAAAAUUAAAAUAAAAUUUUAAAUUUUAAAUCUCAAAUUCAAAAAUUUAAAGUUCUAAAUUUUAAAUUUAAGAUUAAAUUUAAAUUUAAAAAUAUCAAAUAUCAAAUUUUAAAUUUCAAAAAUUAAAAAUAAUAAUUUAUAAUUUAUAAAUAUAUUAAUUAAGAUUAUAAAUUCUUUAAUUUAAAAAAUUAAAAUUUAAAAUUUAAAAUUUUAAUUAUAAAUUUAAAUUUAAAAAUUAAAUUGGGGUGGGAUUAGUUAACCCCACCUGGCCAAUUCCAGGGGGAGGUGGGGUUUGUUAACCACACCCCUAACGGGUUAUUCCGGAAUAACCCGUUAGGGAUGGGGUUAACAAAUUCCACUCAUUGAAAAAGGUGUUUGGGGAUUAAGAGGGGAAUAACUCCUUAAACCCCCUCCUGACCCUCAACCAAACACCACCUGAGUCCAAUUUUUACCACUCACAUGUAGGAAUGUUACUUUUUCACUGCAUGAGUGAUAAUUGUAAAGUGAUUGAGACACCAAAAAAAUAAUAAUAAUAAUAAUAAUAAUAAUGUUGGAGUUGUUUGUUUCAAACAAAAUGAUAAGAUCUGUUAUUAUCAGCCUCUUUUUGCAAAGUAAAAGAAGAGAUUGAUGAAAACCUUUUGAUGCAGACCCUUUUCACCUGCUUCUAAAAACUCCUGAUGAUGCACAGAUUGUUACGUGUAUUAUAUAUCGACAUGUAAGUACAUUAAUAAAAACUUCAAAUACCAUCUCUGUGAUUUUGCAUUUUCUCACUUUAGUAUCCUGUGGUUUAAAGUGUAUCGAUUUAGUACUCCGUGGUUUUAUUUUUUCUUUUUUAUUAUCUCCUUCACUAAUUUUUUUUUUAUUAAAUCAGUGACAAAGUUAAAACUAAAAGAGACUAAAGUAAAUAUUCGAUAAAUUUAGAUUGGGUAUGAAAAGUUUUUUUUGUAUAUAAUUUAACGAAAUAUUAACAGAGGAGUUGAUGAAAAGAAAAAAAUGAAAUCACAGGAUACUAAAUUGAUACACUUUAAAUCAUAUGGUACUAAAAUGAGAAAGUGCGAAACCACAGGUAUGGUAUUUGAAGUUUAUCCUAAAUUUUUAGUAGUAAAAAAAAAGAUAAGACAAGUGACAAAAUAUGAGCCACGGAAGGAUUAAGAUAUAAAAUUUAUAGGGAUGAAAAUGGUGUCGAUUU